rnacentral:lncRNA from 1 species
UUUUUUUUUUUUUUUUUCCCUUUGACUCAACUUUGUCAUUUUGAAAGAUUUUACAUGAGAAGAGUAAGCCCUUAUACUAUAAGUCAAUAUCUAAUCAAGUGGGUAGCAAGUGGAGCUUUCCCACUGAACUUUUCAACGCCGUCCAUCAUGUCUUUAAGUUUGAUUUCUUGUUCAAGUUGAAUUGUGGUAGUCCAUGUCGGUCUGAACUUUAGAGCCGUAGUGGUGUUAGGGUUUUCUCGAGUAGGAUGGUCGAUUUAGACUUUAACGCAUCAAAAUUUGACAAAUAUAAAGCCACAUUUUAUAUAUGUGGAUUCUUCAAAUUUGACUUAUGGACGGUGAGGGUAAUUAUUUAAAUUCAACAAAUUUUUUUUAAUAUACAUCACAUUAUUAUAGUAAUUCUUUCAACAAUAAAAUUCCCACAAACUCUAAUUCAAACGGAUAUAUCUCAUUGCAGCCAACUCUUUAAACUAAGUUAAAGUUUCCUAAGCUUUUUACGGAGUUAUUAGCAAAUUCUUUCUCAAGGAAUGAACUCUUUUUGCGAGAGGGCAGUUGGGCUUUGAUACAAUUUGAUCCUAUUAUUUUACUUUUCACAUUACUUGAUAUAUAAUUAUAUUACAUUGCUGUAUUCGGAGUAAAAGUUGUGUGCAUGAAUAAAAUAUUUGACAAACAUUCAGUAUAACAUUAUGAUGUAUUUAUACAUAAAAAAUUUAAGCAUAUAUAACGACUGGACAGAAUCGAACAAUGUACAAUUGUACUGAGUCCUUAUCAUCUUUUCACCUUGUACACGUUUUUGUAUGUCCAGCACCUUAUGCAAAAUUAUUAGAGGAUUUGUAAAUCUAAGCUAAACAAAAAAUAGUCAGUUGAUUCGAAGUACUUUAUUAUUAUUAUUAUUAUUUUUUAGCUUCAAUUCAACUUAAUUUAUCCUUCAAAAAGCUUUACGUGAGAAGAAUAUGCCCUUCAUCUCGUAAAUUAGGUUCUUAAAUAGUCCUUAUGAUAUAACAUAUGAUUCAUAUCAACUAGAUCAGCAAUUGAAAAUUUCCCAUCCAACAUUCAACACAAUCCAUAUGUGGAAAUCAUCACACAUAUUCAAUUUGAACUGUACAAGUUCAAGUCGGCAGGGGACAAAUCUUUCUUUCAUCACACUACAAAUCAAUUCAUCAUCUGUAGCUGUGAACUGAAAUUUUUCAUUUCACACUAAAAUAACUAAAAGAAACAGCACCCAUAGAACAAUUAUAUAUUGGAAUUAAGGCUUUUUUAGUAGUAUGGUCGGUUAAAUCUUUAAAAAUUUAAAGUGCCCACAUUUGAAAAAUAUAUAUAUAAAAAGUCUGUUUUAGGGUUAUUAUCACUUUAUCCCCUUAAAUUAUAUAAUUGCUGUCAAUUUACCCCCUAACGUUAUUUUUAUCCCUUAAAUUAUAGGGUUAAUCACAUUUUAUCCCCUUAAAGAAUAUCCCAUUUUUCAGUUUACUCCCUAACCUUUAAUUUUGCUCACUUAACCCCCUUUAGGACAAAAUUACCCUUGCAUUAUUUUGACUUUUCAUUUAUCUUGUUUUCCUUUCUUUUAUUUCUUUUUCUCUUUCUUCUUUAUUUAAUUCUUCCUCUUUCCCACAAAAAUCUUCACCUUAAUGAUUGAAAUUAAAAAAGAGAAAUUGCAGAGAUCUAUCUUCUCCUUAAAUAAUUAAAAAAAUAUUCAAAUCACUUUCCUAAAAUACAAUUUUUUUAGCCUUUCAAUUCUUUUAAUUUUGGGUUUUCCUCUUUUCUUUCUAAUUUCUCAUUUUAUUUCCUAGAAAAUAUCUUAAGAUGAAAUUGUGACCUGAUUAAUAAUUAUCAAUUGAUAUUUGUGACACUUGGCAUCAUACAAAAAAUCAAAAUUAGUUUUUGAUGCCUUUUUAAACCUUCACCCAAAAAUAUACAAUUACAAACUUAAAACAAAAAUUUUCGUUGAAAUGGAAUUUCUAUUGGGAAGGAUGAGAGAGAGAAGAAAGAGAAAAAGAAAUAAAAGAAAGGAAAACAAUUUCAUCUUAUGAUAUUUUCUUGAGAAUAAAAUGAGAAACUAGAAAGGAAAGAGGAAAACCCAAAAUUAAAAGAAUUGAAAGGCUUCAAAAAUUGUAUUUUAGGAAAGUGAUUUGAAUAUUUUUUUAAUCAUUUAAGGAGAAGAUAGAUCUCUGCAAUUCCUCUUUUUUAAUUUCAAUCAUUAAGGUGAAAAUUUUUGUGGAAAAGAGGAAGAAUUGAAUAAAGAAGAAAGAGAAAAAAAAUAAAAGAAAGGAAAACAAGGUAAAUAAAAAGUCAAAAUAAUGCAAGGGCAAUUUUGUCCUAAAGGGGAUUAAGUGAGCAAAAUUAAAGGUUAUGGGGUAAGCUGAAAAAUGGGGUAUUCUUUAAGGGGAUAAAAUGUGAUUAACUCUAAAUUAUAUCACUGCUAUCAAUUCAUUGUGAAGUGCGAAGGGUAAUUGGUGGGAUGUUUAAAGAAUUGACAAAAUGUAAAAUUAUGGUUGAUUACUACAUCUUUAUUUUCACUAGUAAUAACUCACGUGCUUUGCACGUGAAUAUAUUUUUCAAAAUAUAAAACCUUUAAUAUAUUAAAUUUUUGUGCAAAACUUUUAUUAUUGGCAUAAUAUAAACUUAGAAACAAUAUAAUGAACAAAAAUAAGCAAUUGGUAAUUGUAUAAAAUGUUUAUUGUGUACAAAGCAACUAAAAGUUUAUUGUGCAUUCUACAGUUAUAAAAACUUCGAAGAUGGAAUAUUAUCAUAUUUAAACUAAGUUGUUGGUAAAAUAUUAACUAAGAAACCAUGUGAUAAACAAAAUUAAACAAUUGCUAGUUGUAGAAAACAUUUAUUAUAUACAAAUUAAUUAAAAAUUUAUUGAAUUCUGAAGAUCAAAGAUUAUCAUAUUUAAACUAAGUUAUUGCAUAUUUUACUUGGAUUGUGCGGUAAGAAGAGGAAAUUUUCUAUGUUUUGUCAAUCCAGUGUAUACAACAAAAACUCAUCAAAAUACAUAUUAAAACAUUAGGAUUUGGAUAUAAUAAAUAUUUAUCAAUUUUUGUAGUUGUAAACCUUUUCUGUUAUAUUUUUUUAUAACUAUCUACAAUUUUUUUUUGAAAUUUUCUUAGUCAAUAUGACAUAAUAUAGUGAAUUUAGUUAUCAAUUUAACCUUUUAUUUUCUCAUUAACUGUUUAUAAUCUUUUGUCUUCUUAUUAAUUGUGAUUUUCUUCUAAACCAAUAUGUAUAUAAAAUAUAGUUAACUUUAAUUAUCACGCAUAAGAAUAUAAUAAUUGGGGAUAAUUUUAACACAUACAAUAAUUGGAAACAAAGAAAAUAAUUGGUGAAUAUAGAUGUAAGUUGAUAGUUUUUAAUUUUAAUUACCGAUAUUUUUGAGAUGUAAUUUAUUGAAACUUUUCAUUUUUCUUUUUAGUGUCAUAUGCAAUAACUUUAAUUAAAAGACAUGAAGGUAACUUAGGCAUAACAAAAAUUAAGAUCAAACUAUACUUACACUUGCACUCCCUAUUGCCAAGACUCAUCUUGGUAAUUCGAGUCCUUUUUGUGUAUAUAAAUCUUAUACUAUCUCUUGUUUCUUUUUUCAGAUUUUUGAGGAAAGGAAAUAAUCAGCAAAUAUCUAUGUGCAUGUAUAAAAUAGGGAACAAAAGGUAAUUGCAGGAUUUGUUACAUUCCCUGUUGAUGCAGACAAGCACUAACAGCCAAGGCACAAGAAGUUAAAAUAAAAAAAAGUUGUUGAGCAAUGAUUUUCAUUUUUUCUUUGCCUCUAAGAUCGGACCCUCUUUGGCAACCAAAUCAUUAUUUGGUCUUAAAAGCCUAACCCGUGAAGAAAAUCGUGUCCAAUUUCCUUUUGCCCUUUGAAAACACCCCUUUAUCUGUAAAAGAGAUCUGAAUGGGGACAUAAUUUUUUUUUCUUUCAAAAUAUAGAACACAAACCCCACUAGUAUGUUCAAGCCCCAUCAAGAAUCAUUAUUAAAAUGCUUUUUGGGAAUGACAUUAUUGAGCAAGUUCCAAAAUCACUUUGUUUUUCACCAAAUCUUGACCGGUGAACAUGAUUAAUUUGUUCAUUUUUUCCAUUGAUUUGUUAAUUUGUUCACUUUUUGGAUUAGUGCUUAGGAUUUUUUUUUUCUUUGAGUAGAUUAAUGCUUAGGAUUUUCAUCCCAGAAUCUUGAAUAUGGAACAUGUAGUUAUAUGAUAGAAAAAAAAUUACAUCAUGCACAAGUAAUUCACCUACCCAUAGAAAGAAAAUAAAAAAGGUUAAAGAGAUAGGCUAUUCUUAACUAAUCAUUUUUUUAGGAGGUAAGUUUCUUAAUCGAUCUUGUUUGGAAAGUCAUUUUCCACCAAAAGAAUGUCAACGUUUUCUAUAAAUAUAUUUUUCAGUUACUUUUUUAUUUCACAUAUAUUAAAUCGUUGUUUGGUUAAAUAAAAAAAAAGGAAGGGAAUUAACAAAAGAAAGGGAUCGUUUCAUAAAAGUCCCUCUGUUGCUUUCCAGAUGAUCAGCCUGGUUCUCGAAUGGAACAAAAUACUUUUGACAUGAUAACUCGAAAAAGCCCAACAGAAAAUAGAAAAGUGCUUUCGUUGUGCUUUAAAAUUCAACAAAAAAAAAAUUAGUUUUGAAAUACUUGGUGCCAUUUGUUUAAGCUAUGCGGAUGCAGAUCACCAAAGAAACAAAGAUAAGGGAUGCCCUGGUUUGAAGAAAACAAAAACAAAAUUAAGAAUACUUUUUAUGCAGAAGGAAAUUUAGGACUAAAACUUGCCAUUAUGUUUAGACCUGUGAUUUUGUCACAACAAAAGAGGGAAAAAAAAUGAAUCUCUUAGUUUUUCCACGGCCCUAAAUCUCUUAAAACCAAACAAAAAAACUCAUCUAAGAAAACAUAUCACAGACAUGGAAGGUUAGCUAUCGCAUCCUUGUCUAAGGAUGGGCUCCUUAACAUUACAAUUUUGAACCGGUUUACAUUAUUUGAUAUUAACAAACUGCAGCGCGUUUGUUUGGAUAGAGUAUUAUUUGGAAUAUUAUUUGGAAUAAAUACUGUAACACUUUUUGUGAUGUGAUGUAUGUGAGAUAAAAAGGUGAUUGAAAAUAUAAAAAGGUAGAUUGGGAAAUGUGUUUAUGAUGCAAACGAAAUAUUAUUUGAUAGUGUUCUAUCGUAAGAAGCCUUGAUUGAUCUUAGCUUGACAACAUGAUUUUAUUUCAACAAAUUUGCAUUGAUGACAAAACAUACAUCAAAUAUAAGACAGAUGUAAUCAGACAUGAAAAUUAACAACAACGUUACAUUUUUUAGAAUUUGCGUAUGUUUCAAGGUUAAUUAUGUACUUUUAACAUAAAGAAAGUUGCUAAAUGAUUGCCAUUGGUAACCAUUUUGAAGCCAUUCCCAAUAAUUCCCGUGAAACUAGCUUAAGAAAUUUUGGUCCUUUAUUUAUUUAUUGUUUCUUCAUUUUCAUAUACUCUCAUAUACGAUUGGAUUAAACUAGUUUAGUAGCAAGAGUAUCAUUUCACAAGACUCUAAUUUCAUGGUAUGUUUAGCAAGGACUCCUAUGUUUUGCUUUAACUCUAAUUUAACGGUCUGUUUAAUGAACACCCCUACGUUUUGGUUAAGCAAAGCAGACUAAUUAGUGCCCUAAAAUCUAUUAUAUUAAUCCAAAACCAAUCUACAAUCAAAACAAUUUGAUAAAAUGACCCUAUCAUCAAUUAACCCGAUAAUAUUGUAUUAGUUCUGAUACCAUAUUAAAGCACCUUGGUUUUGAUUUCAAAACUAGUCAACCGUGUGCAUCGAGCGGUUCAAAAUUUUAUUAAUCAUUUCAGAGUAUUUUGACUGACAGACGUGAAAUUAUUUUAUUUGUUUAAUAUGUAGUUAUAUAUACUGAACAGUUAAAUCGAUUCAAAACGUUUCCCACUAUUAGACGAAAUCCCGAUUGCGAAUCCAUUUUCGGCCACUUAAAUGUUACUCCCUCCGUCCCACUUUGAUAGUCCUGUUUCUUUUUUCACACAGUUUAAGAAAAAAUAAUUAAUUUUGUUGGAAAAGUAAAUUUAGAUUGCUAUUUUUCUAAAAUACCCUCACAUUAAAUAGAGUACAACUUUAUGGGAACUUGAAUUGAUGGUAAAAAAAGAAUCAACUCUCAUUAAAUGGGGUAGGUUUAUAGUAACAACAACUUACAUUGAAUAAGGGCAUUUUAGGAAAAUUAAAAUAUAACUACAUUUUUCAAUUGGAAAGUGGACUACAAUUUAGGACAGACAAAAAAGGAAAACAGGACUAUCAAAGUGAGACGGAGGGAGUACCUAAUAGUCACGCGUACUCUCCACUACAUUAAGUCGUAACGCAAUAAUAACCAAACCAAGCUUGGCCUUAUUUUGGAAGUUUCUUUUAACGCCAAGAGGCGCAUUCACGUGUGUGUACUGCCGUGGCAUUUGCCCUCUACCUACCUAUUCAUUCAAGAAACACCGAUGACGUUGGCCUACGCUAAUGUAAAAUUUAAUAUAUAUAUAUAUUAUAAAUUUAAUAAUAAUAAUAUAUACACUGUCAGUAUUUAUAAAAUUUACUUUAAAAGAUGUCUCAUACCACACUAAAAAUGAGUGUCUUUCUUAGUAAUGAAAUCCUUUGAAGAGAGAAAAAGUCAUAUGGAAUUAAUGUUAAAAGGGUUUUUCAAAACUCAAAAGGAAAAAAGAAAUUGUAAUGGUGAUGUAAACAAAUAUAUUUGGGAAAAUAACUCACUAUCCAAACAAACCCUAAUUAGGGACAAAUAUAAUUUUAAAGAAAAUGUAUAUAAUGCACGACUUGACUGCAGAUUUUUUUAAAAUUCUUACAAGUUCUUAAGUUCCCCUUGUUUCCUAAUUUUUUGACUCUCACAAUUUGCACUAAGCAUUCAUUGCUCCCUCAAAAUGAAGCAGGUGUAAAAUUGCAAACAAAUCACAUCUCAGUUCGCUAUUUUAAGUUAAAAAGAAAGUAAGAGAUGCUAAAGGAAGUUAAUUUUAUUGUACAUUUGUUCUAAGAAUGUAGAUUGAUAUCACCUAAUGGUUUAGAGGACGAUUUUUAGAAUUUUCUCCGUUAUCAGAUUCAAGAUUCGGAAAAAAAAAAAAAAAAUGCAGAUCGAUGUCAUUAAACUCUUGGCAAAAAGAGAAGGGUAAAAUUGUACAAUGGCAUUAAAAAUCUUUGAUUGGACCGAUGGGUACACUGAACCUUACCUUACAGCUCUACUGGUGUGGCUAUGGGCUGUCCAUUCCAUUUAAGGUAACAAUGAGAGCGAUGUCAUGCGUUAAAUUGUUCUGCAAAUUGGAAUUCGCUUACAAAAAUCCAAAAAAAUAAGAAAGAAUGCAUGACGGGUUUCAUUAUUAAUUAAUAGAGAUAUCAUGAAUCCAGCAUACAAAAUUAGGUUAACUUUCUAAUCUAUCACAAAAUUAAGCAAGAAGUCCAAGUGAAUUUUAAAGCAUAGAAAUUAUACAUGCACAUGAUGUAAUUAAAGCAUCAAAAGUGGAACCUUCCUGCUGAGAAGAUAUUUUAUUGAAGAGUUUUGGACCUACACCACCACCUAUUCAUAGCCUAACACUUUAAAAAGUGUUGUUGAUUCAAGAUUAGAUUCAAGUUUGCAAUUAAUUAUUUACAAAUUUUCAUCAAUCUUUCAAUUUAAAAACUAUUUUUCUUGAUGCCCUAAUUGACAUACUUGUGAUUGGGACUUGGACCAAGUAAAGAAUAUUCACCUUGUCCCGUGCACUUGAGAGACUAGUUCUUCAAAUGGUGAAGUUUUCGAAAUGCAAAGAUCAGCUUAUUGGAUCAAGGCAUGAAUAUGAUACAAAUGCAAAUGGAUCCAUUGGUAUCAAUUCUUUAACUUUAAACAAAUUGAUUGACAGAUGACAUUUUGGUUAAGGCGAGAAGGGGCUGUUUUAACAAACAAUAGCAACCUUAUUAUGCUUGCAAGUCAUUGCUUUCAUCAAUCUCUUGUCUUGCAAUUGCAUCUUGAUUUGUGUGUUUACACCAAUCUAAAUAUGUUUAUGUGACGGUUUGAGUUUAAAUAUUUGCAUGAUCACAUUUUACAAGAAAAUCGAGUUGACCAACUUCGUAUGAGAUGUGAGAAGUUUGACAUGUAUUUUCUUAAUACUAAUUUUUUUUAUGCACUAUCAGUGUUUAAAUAUAUUUUUUUUACAAUAGUAAAUUUAGAUCAUACCACGUAACAUGAAUUUAAAUUCGAAAUUUAAAUCGUACAGUUGUGACAUACAUUUAAAGUUACUAGUGUAAAAAAAUCAGUAUACUACUACACUACCACCAACAACCAUAAAUAACACACACACACACACACAUUACCGAUAGAGGGAAAGGAGGAGGGAAAAUACCAAGACUAUUGUCAAAGACUCACCAACGGCUUUUAACCACCCCAUGAUUUUCCUUAUCCACCAACAACCAUAAAUAACACACACACAGACACACUACCUAAGGGAAACCCACGGCCCAACCCAAAAGGCAUGCUGACUUUCAGCAUACACUGAAGACCUUAAGCAGUACACACACACUACUCACAAUCGAUGUGGGAUAUACUACGCUGCCAAUAUAUAAAAAGUUAAUCAUUUUCUUAAUUGGUUGAUUAUAAACAAUUGUAAUUUUAAUUUUAAUUUUAAACGCUUCCAAAGUGUCAAAGACUACCCCAAGAACGAUGAUGUUUGGGAAGAGGCAAUUCUCUGUGUCCCAACUUUUUUCACUCGGUAUAUUGAUUACUGUGACUACUAAUUCAAUUACAAAAAUCUGCAAAAUGGUGGUAGUUAAAAAACAAAAAAAUGUUUGAAGGGUUAAAUUUUUCCUGGGGUUUGGAGCUGGCAAGAUUCUUGCACGUUUAGGUUACAUUAAACUAUAGAACCUGAAAAAUCAAUGUUAAACUAAAUUAAUGUUAAACUAAGUACCUCAAAAUGUCUCUUGCAGUGUUUAGCAAAUCGACGUAGACCAGCUUUCCUACUGACAAUAAUAUCAUAUGCUGUCGACCUUUAAUUCUUGUUGACUGUUUUACUUAUGCAGAGAGCAGGGCCUUGCGUUCUAAUUCUUUCAUGAGAUAUUUUUUGAGUCAAACAUACUUAUUAAUGUUUCAUAGUAGUAUUAAGGAACACGAAUUACUUAAAUAUUUAUUUUUUAAAAGAAGAGAAUUAUGAAUCAAGAAAAUUGACAAUUAUUUGAACUACCAUUGAAUCCUAGAGAAAUAUUUAAUAGAAAAUUAUUAACAAUUAUUAAGGAACAUGAAUUUUUAAAAAAUAUUUAUUGACUUUUACGGAAGAAAAUUAUGAAUCAAGAAAAUUGACAAUUAUUUGAACUAUCUUUGUAUGCUAGAGAAAUAUUUAAUAGGGCAAAUGCUGGACUUAAAAAAAAUUAUUCAUAUCCAACCAAAUAAGCAAUUUUUUUUGUUUCAUUUACUUCAUUUAUGAAUCAAUUUACUUAUUAUCUGUUUGGCAACCAUGAGCCACCGUGCAUUAUUAUCAAAAUUUAUUUACUUGUAUCAUUAACUCAUUUUUAACAAUUUUUUUUUAUCGUACAUACAUCAUAUAAAAAACGUGCUUCAGUAUUUUCUCAAAAGAUUAUUUCAAAUAAUCUGUUAUUCAAACACAUUAUCUGGGCAUUCAUUUCAAAUUAUUAUAGUAAUGAUAGACGCCUAAGUAGAGUUUCACUUUUGCAGUAGAAUAGCAUCAAUAAUCUGGUAAUUAAUGAAUAAAAACAAUGAACCAAUUGUAAUACUUAAACCUUAAAGGAAUACUGAUUAAUAAACCAAAAUUUCUCAAACGGAAUGAAAAUCCAAAACGGUAAGACCCAAUGAAACGAGCAUAAAUAUUCAGUUCAAUUCGGUUUCUGUUAAUGUCCGCAUUUUCUUAUUUUGAUAAAACAGAUAACAAACUUUCACACUAUCUUUUUGUGUAAACCACUUAAAUUAUCCCAAUAAUGUAUUUCUCACAUUAAAAAAGAAAGAAAGAAAGAAAGAAAUCAGAAUAAUGCACAAAAUGUGCACGCAAGAUAAAUCCAGUAAACAUCAAUAUGGCUUUUAGUACAAUUCAAGUAAUCAUCUGCAAACCCUUUAGGACAUGGCGGGCAAGUCAUGCAACUCAAACAAAAUUUACUAUUCUGAAAAAAAAGAAGAAAAAAGGAUUUCCAUUGGAAGAAGAUAUUUUUGGUAGGGGAUUGAUAUUUGUCAUUCCCCUAGCUGUUAAUUGCAUUUCUUUGUACUUUCUUAAUCAAAUGUAAAAGACAAGAAUACCCUUCAUUUUCAUUGCAAUCAUUAACCAUUCCAUCUUCCUUUAGGCCAUAACUCGAGUGGAAAAUACGGGCAAUUUUGUCUUUUAAACAAUCUAUAAAGGGAAAAACAUUAAUAUGACAUUUACAAAAGCAAAAGUGGCAAUAUCACCUAUUUUUUGGUAAGCAAAUUUUGUUGAUCAAAUAAUAGUCGGAGGUUCAAAGUUCAAAUCUGAACCUCAUAAUUAAGAAUAGGAACAAUAUGGAAAAAGAUGAGAGGAUUAACAAAAAAUUUAUCGAAAUGACAAGAUUAAACCUUCAAGUCUAGGUGCAAUCUUGCGAAACCCAAAAUUUAUAAUUUACUCAAAAAUUUUUGUGACAUUAACAUAUUAACUAUAGCAUCUUUCUUCUUCUUUUUUUUUUUUUUUCGCUUUUGUGAAAGAACAUUUUAACUAUAGCAUCAACAUCAAACCCUCCAACAAAUUAAAACAAACCUAAGUAAGAAAUUGCUUAGUGUGGUCCUUUUUAGCCUGUCCUCCGACCAUAUUAUAUAUAUAUUUUUUGUCAGCGAUUAUUUUUUGUCCUCCGACCAUAUUAUAGAUGGCAGAACUUUCCUGGUAAACAAAAUAACUUUAAAAUCUACUGCCAAAUGAUUCAAGCUGUCACAUGGUCAUAUCUGGUCUUGGGUUCCCACAAGCACAAGCAGUACUGAUACCGGUUGUACCAUAAGAAAGCUAUCUUCUGGAGCUGCUAUUGAUAUCGAAUCCGCCAUAUCGUGCUCCCUUUAUUGUUUGAGACAGCUCAUGGUUUGCACUGUGACUACACUCGCUUCACUUUGCUUUCCUAUGCUAAUUCCAAAUUAUAAAACAGCACGAAACCCCAUAUAACUAGGUAGCAAAGCCAGAAAUACAGAAAAGAGCUUAAAUAGUGUUUUAUUCUGGCAAAAAUUAUAUGCUCCCAACGGACCCUUCUUUCUCUCUUUUCCUUUCCUGAAUUUGAGCAUUGCAUUUUCUUGUUCUCUGCUAAGUUUCCUCAAGAGGGGUUCAUCUCAUUUAGCUUCUUUCGUCCAAAAGGACUUGUUUUUUGGUUGGAAGUUCUCAUUUUCUUGUCAGCAAUUAGUCUAUAUUUUAGGGCUCCUUGCAUCUCGUUCUGUAACAAAAUAGCAGAAUGAGUAAACAGGACUUCUUGAAGACUCAGGUAUUGUGUUACUUCUUCCCAUGGGCUUUCUCUUAUAUUAGAUUUAGGUUCUUGUUUUUGCUUUAUUGUGCAUGACUAAGUUUGUAGUACUACUCUUCCAUUUUAAGAUAUGGUAAUUGGCUAUUCUUGUUACAUGAAGUUAUCUGGAGCAAUAUUUGUUGUUUCUUUCAAUUUUUUUGACAGAAAAAAUGAGAAAUUUACUGCAAAGAUUUCAACUUGGAAGGAUUCUGGAGUUGUAAAAGCUAAUCAAGACUAUUUUUUCCCUCAAAGUGAUGAUUUUUAGAAAAAAAGAGCCAAUAAAUCUGUAGUUUGAGACCUGAUGAGGAUAUUUUCUCUCGGAAUGUACAAAGAUUUUGCACUUCUUUCUCAUCUUCAAUUUCCUUUCCACAAAUUUCGUGCAGAGUUGUGUUCUCAGAGUGAACAUCGAUUGUGAUGGUUGCAAGGACAAGGUCAGAAGGAAAUUGCUGAAAAUUGAUGGUAAGUCACUCUUUAGUUAGUAAUUGGCAAUAGAAUCUUUAAAUAGUUGCUCAGAAUAGGUAAAUCUUGGGCAACUCUGUUCAAGUGCGUAUGACCCCUGUGGACUCACUGCUGACUCUUUGGUAAAUAUGAUUUUGCAGGAGUUUAUACUGUUAAAAUAGAUGUAGACCAACAAAGAGUUACUGUGACGGGGAAUGUUGAUCCAGCUACACUGAUAAAGAAGCUUGACAAGGCUGGAAAGCACGCAGAAUUGUGGGGAGCACAGAAAGGCGGGGGUGGUGCAUUCAACUUGAACAACCAGUUCAAGAAUAUGCAAAUUGAUAACUUUAAAGGUGGGAAAGAUAACAAAUCUCAAAAGGGUGGCCAACAAGCUCAUCAGCUGCAGCAGAUGCAGAAUCUUAAAGGGCCAAAGGAUCUGAAAUUUCCUCCCAAGGAUCAGAAAUCUGUCAAGUUUAGCUUGCCUGAUGAAGAUGAUGAAUUCGACGAUGAUGAUCUUGACGAGUUUGAUGAUGAUUAUGAUGAUGAGUUAGAUGAUGAAUUUGAUGAUGGUUUUGAUGGUGGUCAUCAUAAGCAUCCAUCUGCAAAAACUAUACCUAUUAUGGGUGGCGGUGGCGGUGGUCAUGGACCUAACAAGGGGUCUAAUGGUAUAAUGAAUGGUUUUUUGAAAGGUGUUUUCAAUGGUGGGAAUGCCAAGAAAGGUGGUGGGGCUGAUAUAUCUGUGCAAAUUAAAGGUAUGGGAGGUAAUAAUGACGGUAAGAAUGGCAAUGGAGGUAAGCAUGGUAAGGGAGGCAAUCAAAAUCAGGGUGGUCAAGGUGGUAAAAAUGGCGGUAAAAAUGGUGGGGGCAUGCCAGGGGAGGGUAAGAAUGGUGCGGUAAAUGGUAAAGGUCAGCAUAAUAGCAACGGUGGAGGAAAGAUUAAUGAGAGUUGGGGUAAGAAUGGGGGAGGGAAGAUGAGUGGGGGCAUGAUGAUGAACAAUUUACCCCAGGGAUUUCAUGGCAUGGAUAUGAACCACAGAGGACCAGUUCCGAGGAAUAUGGGUCAAAUGCCCCAAAUGGGCGGCUAUCCAAUGGGUCCUGCCGGAAAUAUGCCGGCGGUGCAGGGACUACCGGCCGGUGCAGGGAUGAACGGUGGGUAUUAUCAAGGUAUGGGACAGGGGAACCCUUAUAUGAACCAGCAAUACAUGGCUCAAAUGAUGAUGAAUCAACAGCAAGCUAAUGGUGGUCAUGGCAUGUACCACCCUAUGAUGUAUGCCCGCCCCCCGGCCCCCAUGCACUAUGGACCACCGAUGAUGGCGCCUCAGGCCACAGAUCAUUAUACUCACAUCUUCAGUGAUGAAAAUACUGACAGUUGUAGUAUCAUGUAAAUUGGAAUUGCUUCUGUUUUGUUCUGGUUUACUACUUAGCAUAGGAUAUGAGUUUGUGCUAUGUUUUGGUUUGUAAGUUAGAGAGUCGCAAGUUGCAACAAUCCAAUGCUACUACUCAGAAGUGGUUAGUUUAUCAUUUCUUUCUUCUCUGUUGUUGUUCUGCCUUUUCUCUUGAGUUGCCUGUCUAUACUUCGUGUACUGUGAAUGGUAGGUUUCAGUAACAUGCUCAGAAUACAAUUAGAUCAGUACGUAAUCAAGCUUAACAUUGUAGCAUUCUUUCAUUCUUUGGUGAAAAAUUAUGGAAGGAUUUGAGUACUGACGCCUAGAGGGAUGACAGAUUUUUUUUUUCAAAGAGCUAAAUUCAAAAGCUAGAAACGGGAAAAGGUAGGGGAGCCAUUCUAAUUUCUAAGCUCUAGCCCCAGGUAUGCCCUUUACUCUAUUCUUUUUGGUUGUGUGGGGUAUGACGGGGGGGUGCUUUUUACUGCACAGUGUCCUUUCUUAUCAGCCUUUCAAGAUUUUUGACUGUUACCUAAUUCUUAGAGGAUAUUUGUUGAAGAAAAUUUUUAUCCUCAUAAUUCUUCCUUAGGGCAGAAUUCAAAUCUAUGCUCCUGUUGGAUUGCUAUUUUCUAAACGCUCAAGGUAAAAAGGGACACAGACUCCAUGAAAGGCGGUGGAGAGAAUCACUUGGGAGACAAGAUUAAUUCCUCACAGCUCCAUGUGCCAGCUUUUCUAUUCUGUUUUUUGGUUUUAUGAUGGAAAUGCAUCAUUGCUUCUGUUACUUCAGACAGAAGGAUUUUUCUGUAAUAUCAAUAUGAGGCUUCCAUGAAACCGCCUUCAUGAGUUAAAAAUAUCUAUUCCCUCAGCUACAAUGAAUCUGUUCAUCACUUUGGAUUGUGAAUUAUUUACCAAAUUAUAUCUGCUUACAUCAUCAUUACAAUUUUCAACGCACCUUUUUAUCUUCUCAAUUACCUUUUUAUCUCACAUACAUCACAUCACAAAAAAGUGCUACAGUAAAAAUAUUUCAAAUAAUUCACAAUCCAAACAAACCCAUUAUUAUUGUCUUCAUUAUGGUUCCGGGCUUUCAACUCUAGCUGCCUAUACCAAGAUUUGACAGAACAAAAUUUUUUUUUUAAAAUACAUUGGCUGUUCAAAUUCAAAACUUAUUGGAUCUACCUAUACGGGGAAAUCCCUUCAAUCCCUUACUUUUUGUUUUUGGCUUUUAGCACUCGAUAUCUCCACCUUCAGCAAAAGGCUAAUUUGGAUUCGAUUCGGGGAGCGUCUGCAGAGUUCGACUCUUACUUGAGGACGAAAAUUUGACUCAAAAUUUUUCAAGGCGCCACAUGCAGAAAAAUUACCUUUCAUUUCAUGAGUAAAGGGGUAUAUUUGAAGGAAGAAGAUUAAUCCACUCCCACUUGCUUUUGUUAGUACAAUGGGGAGGAAAAAUAGGGAUUGCUAGAGCAAAAAUAACAAGGCUACACCUCUUAAGUCAAUUUGGCGAUGAUAUCUCAUUUGAUUUGAAUAUUUUCGAUAUUUUACAAACAAAAAAUUGCUAUGACAUUAAAAUUUGAGUUUCGACAACACAGAGGAUUCCAUUGGGUUUCACCCAAACUCACGUAAAAUAAAGCCCAAGUCCUUCAAGUCAAGUCAUAAAUGUUGGCUCUGCCUCCUUCUAUUACAGCCCAAACUGUUGGGUGGGAUUCCAUUGGGUUCAAUUUUGAUUUUCAGCCAUUUGACUUGACUUUACACCUUGGAUAUAGUGUUAGUAUCACUCUCACACAGAGGAGAGGCAGGAACGGUUGGUUGCUGGAAGCAACUGUUCCUGAGGUUCAUGGCCACGAUUUAACCACAAAAAAAAAAGUAAGGUUUAGAUUGUAUCUUGUACAUCGUUUUUCACAUCAUGUGUGGAGCUCACAAAAUUUUGUUCUAUAGUUACAUAUUGUUGAAAGUGAGUUACACCGUGUGCAUAUAAAGUUAUUUUUUUGUGUAUUUUGCACAAAAUUGGCCUGAACGAUUUUCCUGACAACUGUUCGGGCCGUGUCCGACUCUCACACUCUGGCUUGGGUCACUACCUUUACAAACCAUUGUGACUCGCAUGCGUUGGGAUCGGAAUUGUUUGCAUUAGUCCAAUCAAGGUUGAUAAAACUGUUAGCGGUAGAAAAUUAUUUGGCCCAACAAAGCCAACAAAGCCUGUAGCAAAUUUUCCUACUUCAAAUUGUGCGCUAUGUAAAAGUGUAAACCCCUAUACCCGAGCCCCCACCGCCACCCCCAGCCCCACCCCUAUGUAUCAUCAUUGAUCUAGUGCUUGUACUCUAAAAUAUAAUACUGCUUUCACUAGCUAUUAUAUAAAAUGAUUCUAACACUUAUUGGAUAUAAGUUUCAAUUUCUCAUUCCUCUACUGGCUUCAAUUACGACUUUAAAUCUCUCAACUCCUUCUUGGUUCACUUCUCUAAUAUUCAUGUCCAAAACUCAAGCAACUCGAACCCUUUUCAAGACUAGCGCACUCGUUUUGCCAAUGUGCAAAGAUUCUACUAGUUUCCUUCAUGUUGCCCACAUACUCAAGAGGGCUCCUCGGAUAUCUAUUCCAUUUCUUCUUGAUCUCAAUUCAAGAUUUUUAUGGGUGAAUUGUGAGCAAAACUACUCAUCAUCAACCUAUAUAGCUCCCUCUUGCAACUCCACUCAAUGUUCAAGGGCCGGAGUUCACUACUGCCACAAAUGUCCCUCCAAUUCUUCUAGGACUGGGUGUCAUAACAGUACAUGCUUUCUUUUAACCAACAACCCACUGACUCGUCGAAACGCCAUUGGAGAGCUUGCACAAGAUGUUCUUUCCAUUUACAGAUCUCAAGGUCCAAAAUCAAGUCCAUGCGUGAGAGUUCCUUAUUUGCUUUUUGCCUGUGCACAUUCUUUUUUUGGGUAAUUAGCCUGUGCACCUUCAUCUUUACUUUAAAGACCAUUGCCGGAAAAUGUUCAAGGAGUAGCUGGAUUUGGCCAUACUUCACCUAUAUUUGCCUUGUGCCUGUCCUCUUCCUCCAAGAGCAAUGGAGUCAUUUUCAUAGGACAAGGCCCUUAUAUUAUGCGCCCUGGAAUUGAUAUUUCGCGAUGAAUGGGCUAUCCGCCUUUAACAAUUGGUUUUCAGGAGGGCAAAUACAUUAUCCUGGUUAGAUUGAUCAAGAUUUUUUUUUUUUUUUAAAGCCAGUUCUGCUCAAAUCAGCUUCAAUUUCAGGAUCCAGGGCUUUUCUAGGAACAAUAAUUAGUGCAACAAUUCCAUACACAGAUUUGGAGCACUCAUUAUUCAGAUCUUUUGCGAAAUUGUUCAUGAAUCAACUCAUAGGAGUUCCUCAGGUGAAACCAGUUUUACAAUUUGAGGUAUGCUUCAAUUUCAACUACUUAGCAAGUACCAGAACUGGCCCUGAAGUUCCUAGAAUUGAUUUCAUGCUGCAAAAUCAAAAGUUUAGCAGGACAAUUAUUGGCGAAAAUUCCACGGUACAAGUAGAACAAAAUGUCUCGUGUUUAGCCUUUGUUGAUGGAGGAACUAACCCCACGGCUUCAAUUGUCAUAGCUACACAUCAACUGGAAAAUAAUCUUCUUCAAUUUGGUCUUGCAAAGAACUAGAUUAGGGUUUGCAUCUUCGCUACUUUUGCGUCAUAUUACCUGUGCUAACUUCAAUUUCACCUUGCAUUCGUACCAUUUGUAAAAUGGGAACUGAGAUUGAUGUUUUAUUCUGUUGAAUGUAAUUAUUUUGAAGUAUUUGGAGAUAAAUUAUGUGCUCCUUGAUGCGAAAGAAAAUCUUUUUUUUUUUUUUGCGUGCUGAACUUUAUCGCCGUCUUGUACACACAUGCAAACGGGUGCAACGUUUUAUUGCCAACUGCAAAAUGUAAUUUCAAGAAAGAAUUUUUUUUACUCUACCUUUCAAAAUUGAUUCACAUUAUAACUUAAUCCAUGCUAACAUACAUAGUAUGUAUGUAGCAUUAAUUACAUGCAACAUUGAUAUGUUUUUAAAUUUUCAUAAAUGGAAUCAAUUGAAAAUUAUAUAUUUUAUCACCAUGCUCAAAUUGAUUGUGAUUAUUUUCUUGCAGAAUUAGCUCAACGGACCGAAUUAACUCUCAUUCAAUGUCUUUACUUGUGUUUUACUACUAAUUAGUACAUAUUGGAUUAUAUUAUUGUUCUCUUUGUUCCAUUGACCUCUUGAACUUAGUGUCCAACAACUUGUCGAUUUCUGAGAGAUAGUGUUCUUGAUCUUGACAUCCCAAUUCAUUGCAUUUGAAAUUAUACAAAUGCAAGUUAAACUUGUUUUUUUUUUUCUAAUAAUUUCAGAUAAAACAUUCCUCGGAAAGAAAAAAUGUAACUGGUGAUGGAACUAUUCUAGACUAUUGCAAUUGCAUUGAGAAAAUUAAACUGACAAGAGAAUUCUCACUUUAACGGGUAUGCACUUCUCACCUUCCUUUGACAAAGCUGGAAUCCAGUCUGGAAGAACCUGGUGGCAGUACUAGCUAGUGAAGUUUUAUCCCCUCUUUGCCAGAUGCUGCCUCAUCAAGCACUCCUUAGCUGCUUCUACCUCCAUUGCCAUCAUCACACCGCUGUCUUUACCCUUGUUUGCUCUAAGUUUGGUUUAAAGACAACCUACCAAAUAGAAAGAAAGAGAAAACUCAUCCACUGAUUAAGUCAUCAAACUCAGAUACUUACACGAGAAACAGAAAUCAUCAAGAUUGUCUCCAUUCCCACCCCUUCUUGAAGUUAUCUUCCCCCAUUCUUACCCGUUACAAACUUUAUAGCUAUACAUAUAGAUCAAGCCAUUUUCCUUGUACUACCCAAAAACCACAUCUCAGAAACACUGAUUCUGCUAAUCUUCUCUGAUUCCUCUUAUGGCUUCCCGCUUCAAUUUUAUUCUCGCUUUCUCGACUCUCGUUUCCCUUCUGUUUGCAUCAGCACCUGGAGCUGCUCAAGCUCCCUUCAACCCGAACGCCCUUUACCUCCCAGUGCUGAAAGAUAACGCCACAAGCCUCCUUGUUGUCGAUAUCUACAAAAGAACACCCCUCAAAUCAAUCCCACUACUUGUAGACCUGAAUGGCAAGUUCUUAUCAGUUAAUUGUGAGCAAGAUUACCUGUCAUCCACCUAUAAUGCUCCAAUUUGCCAUUCAACUCAGUGUUCACAAGUUGAAAAUCAUUUCUGCCACACAUGUUUAUCCCAGGCUAAGCCUGGUUGCCAUAACAACACUUGUGCAGUCUUGGCAACAAACCCUCUCACCAACACAAAUGUAGUUAGUGAACUUGCACAAGAUACACUAGCAAUUAAGACUAUUGAGGCCUCAAAUCCAGGCCCUCUGGCUGUUGUCCGCUACUUCCUCUUUGCAUGCACGCCAUCAUCUUUUCUACAAGGGCCAUUACCGCAAAAUGUACAAGGAAUAGUUGGAUUUGGCCACAAUCAAGUUUCUUUACCAAGGCAACUAGCGUCUCACUUUGGAUUCCCGCAGAAAUUUGCCUUGUGUUUAUCUUCAAAAACCAACCAAAAUGGAGUCAUCUUUUUGGGGAACGCAUCUUAUAGAAUUGGAGACAAGGACAUCUCUCAAGGUAUGCAAUAUACCCCAUUAACUAUUGGAUCACAAGGAGAGUACCAGAUACUAGUGAAAUCAAUCAGGAUAAAUCACAAGCCUGUCCAAUUCAACAGACCUUUGCUUUCAAGAACUAGAAGCUUUGGUGGAACAGUGAUCGGCACAACAGAUCCGUACACCGUUCUUGAGCACUCAAUUUUCGAAAACUUCACUCAGUUCUUCACGAAUGAAUUCACUGCCAUUGGUGCAUCUCAGGUGGAUCCAGUAUCACCUUUUGGAGUAUGUUUCAAUAAAUUGCCUCCUCCGGUUCCAAAAGUCGAUAUAGCUGCUCCCAUCAUCGACUUUGUGAUGGAAAAUCGUGACACUGCCUGGAGUAUAUUCGGUUCAAAUUCCAUAGUCAAAGCAAGGCCUGGAAUUUGGUGCUUAGCAUUCGUUGAUGGAGGAUAUAAGCCCAGAGCUCCAAUUGUCUUGGGUGCAUAUCAGUUGGAGGAUCACAUAUUUGAGUUUGAUCUGGCUAGUUCCCAGUUGGGAUUUAGGGUGACCCUAAAGGCUGAUUACAAUACCUGUGAUCAAUUCAACUUCAAUCCUACACCAUAAGUUGGCGAAUGACCUGAAUGAUUUGAUCACUUUGCCAUGGAUAUAUGUACCUUGUUGGUUUAUGUUUGUGUCGGCUUUGUAGUUUUUGUUUUGUGCUGUGUGAUAUUAGCUUUUUUCGGUUUCAUAAUUGUGCCAAUGAAAUUUUUUUUUUAAGUGAGAGAUCUUAAACAAAGAAUCUUCCAUUUACUAUCCCUUCUACCUUACCACUUAAUUCAAACUUCUCCCAAACUUGUUAUGGUUACCUAGCUAUGAAUAUGUAUUCCUCUUUCUUUUUUUUUUCUUCUCCUGAUUACUUUUGCUAAAUUUUGUCACUAUGACUUAUUUGGGGUAACAGCCAUUAUGAUUUAUGACUGAUUGGAGGGCUGUACAAGACCCGAUAUUGUAUUGCCUAAUGCCUACCAAAUCUAGAAGUAAACUAAUUCCUGUUACUUUAGAAGAACAAUUUUGCCCUUUUUUUUUUGUGUCAAAAGGGUAACAAUACUAACCUAAACCUGGGCCUAACUUGGCCAUGAAGAAUGGAGGGCGAAAAAACUUGCCUCCCGAAUAUUUUCCCUACCCAAAUUGGGGGAACAUGCAAUAUACUAUACCUUUUGCAUUUUAUGCUUCAACAAGUACUAGUGCUUUGGAAAAAAUUUGGAACAUAUUUGGCUUAUUUGGAUAAAGUAUUGAUUUUUUAUUUGUGCAAAGAUUACCAGAUAUUAUUGAGCUCAAAUUGCUUUUUUUCCCCCCUUAAAUUCUAUUUAAUAUCACGGUACAAAAGAGUUAAUUUCUUGAAGCUUUAGAAAUUUUCUAAGUCAUUAAAUUUUCUUCGUCAUUGAUAUUCUUUGCUCAGACCAAUGACGUGAAAAUCAUUAAUAAUAACUCAAUUUAGUUAGCAGCUACAUUAGCUAAUUUUUAAUAGUUAAAAAGCAAACUAAACCAGUUUAUCAUUAUAAUAAAAUAGUGCUUUCCACUUAUUGAUUAACGUACUUGCAUAUUGAUUAAGAUCUAUAACCAUUCAAGCAAAUUAUAUUGGCUAUGCAUGCCACUGUCCAACCGGGUGUUUUAUUAUUUCCCCUGAAACCUCACUGCAAUAGGGCUUCUCACAAGGUGCUCCCCAUCACUCCACUCCAGUGACCCAAAUCCAGACUCAAUGUCACCAAUUUCCUCCAAUGCAGCCCUUGUGAACAAGACCUCAUAGGACAAGGCAUCCUUUCCUUUGCAGAAUAUCAGCUUACUCGGUGACACCCUCACCUCCACAAAUUGAGGAGCAUUUACUUUCGCAUCAUACACAACAUCUGAUUUGCUCCCCACAUUCUUGACCACCCUUUUAUGCUUAGCCACCUUUUUACUACGACUAAAAACCACAGAAAAAGAAGGAUAAUUCAAGUCUCCAACACUCUCCAAUUUCUGUGCAUUGCAGUCCACGGGAACCGAUCUAUCCUUGACAAACACUGCUAUUUUAGUUGGACUAUACCCAAUCGUACACAAGAACCCCACGUAAUCACUAGUUCCCAUAUCGUAUACCAAGCCUGGAUUAAGCGCCUUGUUAGGAUCGACGUGACCUGACCCAUGUCCAAAUGGGAUGGAUUCUUUGCCAGUGGAAAUGUCCAUAAUAUUGUUGCCCCUGUUGUCAACGUUAUAAGCAGUCGUCAUAAGAGCUGAUUUUAUAGCUGCCGGAGUCCAAUCAGGAAAGGCUUUGUGAAGCAAAGCUGCUAAUCCACUUACAUGAGGACAAGCCAUGGACGUACCGGACAUAAUGUUGAAAUUCACUCUUCUCUUAUCAAUGUUUUCCAAACUGGAUGGUCCGGCCAGCCUGGUCCAACCGGCUAAGAUAUUCACGCCGGGAGCGAUAACAUCCGGUUUUAAGAUCUCCGGUGUAAUAGGAUUUGGACCACGGCUCGAGAAUGCCGCCACCCGUGGCGCUGAUAUUGAGUUCCCAGUCACCGUUCCUCUAAAGAUAAUUGUAGCUGUCGCAGAGGAGGGAUGAGACUUGAGGUAGCUCUUAAUUUUGUCGCCGGCUGUUAUCCCCACCAUCGUAGCUGGAAUUAGGUGGGCUUCCGCCCUGAGGUCUUCCCCGGAAAUGGCAUAUUCCUCAGUGUCUGCAUGUAUCAUGCCAACACCACCGUCGUGUUUGACUGCCCAUCCUUUGGCAGCUCCGGUAAUAUUACCUCCACGGUCACAUACCACAAUCUUUCCCUUGACCUUGGAAGGAUCGAGUUUUCCUUGGAAACAGAAGUUGCUUCCGCAAUUUGCGGCGUAAACAAGUGGAAUCUGAGCAUCCGACAGAGGGAGGCCGGAGUACAGCGACACGCCACUGAAAAUUCUUCCAUCUCCGAUAACAACGUCAGCUGGAAACUCCCGGUCGAUGGUGGAUGCACCGACAGUAAGAAUCCAGGGUGCAAUAUUGUCGGCAGUGUAGGGAAGCGGGCCAGAAUUUCCCGCUGAGCAAGAAGUCACAAUCCCUUGCUCCAUAGCGCCAAAUGCACCGAUUGCAAUGGGAUCAAGGUCGUACUCCCUAGCUUGUUUGCCACCCACUGAGAGUGAAAUCACGUGAACUCCAUCGGAAAUGGCUUGAUUGAUGCCUGCUAAUAUAUCGGAGUCAAAGCAUCCACCUCUCCAACAGACUUUGUAGGCGGCAAUCCUGCCUUUAAUCGCCAUUCCUCUCGCUUCCCCUUUAGCAUAUUCAUAGAAGCCAGCAUUUUUAACGGCCGAACCAGCUGCCGUAGAAGCAGUAUGCGUUCCAUGACCUUUGAAGUCCCAAGGCGACUUCGAUUCUCCCAUUUGUUCUAUGGACUUUUUCAUUUGUUCCUCAUAUCCUCUGUAAUAAGCUCUGGCGCCAAUAAGCUUUUUGUUACACGAAGCUGAGGGAAAGUCCGAAGUCGUUUCACAUUCUCCUUUCCAGUAUGAAGGAACAGGAGGAAGGUUUUCGUCAGAGAAGCUCGGAUGAUCAGGCCAAAUGCCAGUGUCGAGGACACCGAUGACGACGUCCUUGGCGUAAUUGGAGACUGGCCAGAGGCCAAAGGAGUCAGCGAGGCCCAUGAAGUAGGGGGUGCGGGUAGUUUGAAGCUGGCGGAUGCUGUCUGGGACGACAGAUAGAAUGCCAUGGUGACGGCGGAGCUCUGCGGCCUGGGAGAUGUUAAGGCGGGCAGCAAAGCCAUGGAUAGCGUGUUCGUAGGUAUACAGGAGUUUAGUUGUGGGCUGUUGACGAUCGGUGGAGAGAGGAGAGAGGGAGCUGAGCAUGGAGGAGUACCAGUCGUGGUGGGUGGUGAAAAGGGAUGGCCUUUGAGACUUGGAGACGUGGACGAUGUAGGUUUCAUGACUGUCAUCGGAUGAGGCAGCAAUCAUGCAUGCAUGGAGGCAAAAGAGGAAGAAGAUAAGGAGAAAUAAGGAAGUUAGAGAAGAGAAGGCAGCCAUUAAUUGGAGACAAGAUGCAGGGUAAGAAAAUAUUGCAUGCAAAGGGGGUUUGGUUGUUGAACAUAAUUGUGGGGAUGGGGAUGAUGAUGAUGAUGAUAUAUACACAAGAAGCUUGGACGGUUGGAGCAGAUGGCUACGUAUCUUUGUGAUAGAUUGGCCUUUGUGUUGUUUGGGCUAGGGCCGCAAACGAGCGGAGUUGAGCCGAGCCAAGUUUUGGCCUUAUCGAGUCGAGUCUUGACUUAAUUUUAUCGACCUCGAUGAGCUGGCAAUUUUUAAGCUCGAGCUCGAGCUCGAAAAAAAUAAAAAUAAUUAUUUUAUUUUUUAAAAAAAUAAAUAAAAUAAUAUUUUUUUCUUAAUAAAUAAUAAAAUAUUAAGGAUAUUUAUGUAAUUUUACUAUUAAAAUAAAAAUAAAAUAUAUAUAUAUAUAUAUAUUCGAGCUCGCGACAAGCUUAAUGUUUUGAGCUCGAACUCGAGCUCAAUUUUGACUCGACCAACUCGAGCUCGAACGCGAGCGGCUCGAUUCGUUUGCACCCCUAGUUGGGGCACGUCCUAAAACCAUACUAGUCAGCAGCGGAGGUAAAACGCUAAGGUCAGUGUCAAUCUCCGACAACGUAUAGAAUGCAGUAAUAAUGAAUUAAAUUAAAUGAAAGUUUAUACAAUAAACAUAUUUUUUUUCGAAUGUAAAAUAUGUUUUUACGUUAAAAUUAUACUCAAAUUUAACAAUAAAAAUCACUCUACUAAUUUGUGUUUAGAAACAUGGACAGAAUUUAUACUUGGAUUAAUAUCCAUAUUUUUAACACUCUUGUAAAGGAUAGUAAUUAUGAGUUUUUAAUUAUUCGAGGCCGGGGAGGAGAAAAUGCACAAGAAAAGAGAAUUUUAUAGAUUUUGGGGACAAUGCACUUAGAAAAGAGAAUUUUAAAGAUUUUAAGAGGGAUAAAUUGGAAAUAGUUUUAAACUUUCUAAACCCAAAAAAUAAUUUUAUUAAAGUUUAUGGGGAACACGUGGCUCCACCACUGUUACUGAUUAUGCUAGUAGUAAUGGUAUCUUCAAAUUCUUUAAUUGCCUUUUCAACAUUUUUAUUAACACUGGCUUUGAGUUUAAACUCACAUGAUAUUGUUGCAUUAAUCUACCUCGAGGGUUUGAUCAAAUAUAAACAAAGUACAAAAGAUAUUGCAAGUGCGUGGUAAAUUAGAUUCUUGACCAUCCAAUGCUGCGAAAAUACAUUUCAAAAGGUCCAGUGAUGAGUAGUUUUUAGACAAUUAUAGCUUAGUACGUGUACCUUGUUUGGAUUGCUGUUUUCUGUCAAAAAAUUAUGUCGUUUUCCGUAAUCACAUUUCCCUAUUAUCUUUUUCUCUCACAUAUAUCAAAUCGCUACAGUAAUUUUUCCAUGAAAAAUCAUGAAAAAUACAAUCCAAACACAAGUAUACCACACAUAUUAUUGUAUCCCGCAAUUAUCAUAUCAAAAGAUGGAGUGCCAUUGAUAAUCAUCUUUAAAUUAUGCAAUUAUCAUAUAUCAUAGAAUAGGAAUAAAAAGUGUCACAAGUACUCCACAAAUUCUUUGGUAAAGGAGGUACUAGAGAUUUUAUAUCUUUGUAUGUGCCUGAAAAAAUUCCUGUUAUCCAAAUUAAGAAGAACCAUAGCGGAGGAGCAGAAGAAAAUUGGUCAAUUUGUUCAAUGUAUAUUGAUUGAGUUUGAGCGAAAAAAGAAACUAUUCCCUUUUUUACCAAAGUUUUUUAAAAAAAAAAAAAGUGGCAGAGCUUUUAUUUUUCAUUACUUUUCCUCUAUUUCUUCUUUUCCCUUUGCAAAUUCCUAAACAAGCCAUGAAUUACAACUCUAGUAAGUGAAAAUUUGCAUCAUUCCCAUAAAAUAUAUGCUCGUAUGUAUAAUUUGAAAAAAAAAUUUAGUAUUGUAUACAAAUUAUGAAUGUUUUAAAAAAUUUUAUACUUUGAACUAAUCAUAUAAAAAAAUGUCAUUAACUUUUAUAGUAUAGUACUUCACUAAUCAUACUUCAUUUUGAGGCAAAAUUUUAAUAUUUGUAUAAGGAUUUAUCAUGUCUUUCCUGUCAUAGUACGAAAUAGUAUAUUCAUAGAUAUAAAACCAAUAAAAUGACUAAAGCUUUAGUUAAUUUACUGUCUCCUAUGGAAAAGCAUGAGAAUAAAAGUUGAUGUUAAUGCAGCUUAACAUCUUAAAAUUAUGGUCAAUUCACUUGCAUUUUUAGUUUCAUAGCUUUCAGAUGUGUUCUCAAUCUCGGAGUUUCACCAAAUUAUAAUUAAACGUAAAAAAUUUGUAUAGUAUAUAUGUACAUAUGAUCUUCCAUAUUAGCAUUAAUUCUUAUCCUGUACUAUUAUACUAAUUAACUAAGGCAAAGCACCUAAAUAGUCUUGGAACUUUUAAAUUUGUAUAUUUUGGCUAUUAAAUGAAUGAUUUAAUCUUUUUUUGUCAAUUUAAGCGGUUAACCCUUAUAUAGAAUGUAAUAAAGUGAUGUACAUGUGAUCUUCUUCUUACUCCAACCAUGUCCGGUGGUUGCUGCAAAUUCUAACUGCCGAUCAAUGACCAUUGACCAUCACCAUUCUAUUUGUCGAAUGUUGACAAAAGUAUGCUCUUAUACUCCAUCUUUGGCGUAGAUUCCAAAUUGAGCUUCAGUUUUUAGUGAAUCUUUCAAAAUAACACUAGAAUUGAAGUCAAAGGUAGAGUUUAUUUCACCCUUUUGCAAAUCUUUUUUAGAUCUCAUCUAUCUAUAGUGUGAUCGCAUCAAAACUUCAGAAUAGAAUAUAAGUGGUCAUUCACCGAAGAAAGGUCAUUGACCGGCCACCUGGAGUUGCAACAGCCACCUAAUAUGGUUGGAGAAAUAAAAAGAACAAAACUGCAUCAGUCUUUUGGUGUUUCCUCAGUGUUAGCAGUUUAAAUUGAUGAAAAUGUUAAAAGUAUACACUUUUUGUAGGUUUAGAGAGAGGCCAGUGUCAUAAAAUUAAUACUACCGAUAGUAUAUAUUCAAACAUUGAAGUUUGAGGGCUGUUUAGGUUUAGAAAGCUUGAAAUCUGGCUUUGUUUGAGCAUCGUCCACUUUCUUACGGAGUAGUUUUUGCUAUACUGAGUGGUGUCGGAGAUGAAUAUAUUAUUAGAGUAAAUCUUAUAUACAUCAAUAGUGUAUACACGAUGAGAUACUAUCAUCGUUUGAUUUAUGACAUAUGUGUAAAAGUUAAAUUUCAUAUUCAAAUUUUACAUAGCUAUCAUCUAUCUAACGCUGACAGUGUAUACACUGUCAAUGUAGGAAAGAUUAAUCCAUAGUAUACACUGUCAGCGUAGGAAAGACUAAUCCAUAUUAUUAUACUAAACGAAACAUCAAUACAAGAUUCUAAAACCAAUAGCAUUGUAGAACAUUUUUUUCUUUAUUUUUAUCACUUAAUUCGUAUAUUAUAUUGUUUUCCCAAAUGUUAUAGUUAGUCACAGUUCAUAAUUAUACAUCGUGUUAGGGAUCGACCUCAUUAUUUGCUAAAAACAAAAACUAUGAUUACAAACACGUUCUUCUUAAGUUCGAUUACUUUAAUUAUUCGAGUGGAUGGGCGGGGGCCGGCUACUUGUCAUUCUGGUGUCAAUCAUUUGGAAAUAUCUCGUUUAUGCCUGUCUUACUCGUAUAUUUUGCUUUGGGCAUGGAAACCAAAGAUGUCCGAAAGUAUGUCUGAUCAAGAACAUGAUGGACAGGAAAAAAGUCUUAUCUGCAGGGCUGCACCUCCGCCAAGGGACGAGUGUUCCUGGUGGACCUUUGGCUAGUAUUGUGCUCUAGGGGUGUACCAAAAAUAUCUGCUUAUCCGCAACACUCGUUCCAUUUGCUUUUGAAAUUAAGCCGAGAAAGUCUUGGUUGGAUGAUUAAGGUUGAGAUUUCAAGCAUUAGAAGUCCUAAAUUGUAAUUCCCUUAUAUUUAUUUCGGUUAUUAAAUUUCACUUUUCUCCUGUUAGAAAAAAUUACAAAAAAAUAAAUUAAAGGUAACUGGAUUGCAUUUUUUUAUUGAGGCAUAAGAGGACUGGGUGCCUGCAAAAUGUGAAUUGUAAAACACAGCUCGUAAGUUUGAAAACUGAUGGAUUUAAGUCGUGCCUUGAUGUUCAUAUGCCAUUGCUUCUACCUAUUGUGGAAAGAAAAGGUAACUUUUCACUAUGGCCAAAUCUGCAUUUAACAAUAUAUAGGAGACUAACUCAAUUAGUGAAUGGAAAAAUAGGAGAGCAAUCCGGAAACCGAGAUAAUUUAUGAGGAUAGGCAAAUGAGAUAUUUACAGCACCACAAAUUUAUGUCUGUCAAUGGGGCCGAACCAACUCGAGUUCGGCCCUGAAUUAAAUUUGGGCCUAAACAAUACGUCUGAAUUAAGUGUGAAUCAAGUUUGGGUCUUAUUAGGCUCAAACCCUAUAUAGAUCCGACCGUUUAAUCUGCAUAUAUAUAUAUAUAUAUAUAUAUAUAUAUAUAUAUAUUAUGAUUACAGCACCACAAAUUUAGGACUAUCAAUGGUACCGGGCCAACCUGAGUUCAGCCCGAGAAAAAAGCCCAAUAAACCUAACCUUUUAUUAAAUUGGACUGAGUUUGAGUCUAAACAUUAUGUCCGAAUUAAAUGUGAGCCGAACUUGGGACUUAUUAGGCUGAAUCUUGAUAUAGGUUCGAUCUUUUAAUCUGCAUAUAUAUAUAUAUAAUGUAUUCAUAUUGGAUAUAUAUUAAAUAUAAUUAUAUAUAAUAUUAAUAGUUUAUACUUAUGAGUUAUGUGUCAAAAUAUAUUAAUAUAUAUAAGAAAUAUUAAAUAUACAAAAUAAUGUCAAAAGAUUCAGAAAUACAAAUCUUAGUACGAGUAAAUUGAGGAUCUUUGAAAAUAUAAAAUCCCAAUAAACCUAACCUUUUGUUAAGUUGGACUGAGUUUGAGCCUAAACAUUAUGUCCGAAUUAAAUGUGAGCCGAACUUGGGACUUAUUAGGCUGAAACCCGGUAUAUGUUUGAUCCUUUAAUCUGCAUAUAUAUAUAUAUAUAUAAUGUAUUCAUAUUGGAUAUAUAUUAAAUAUAAUUAUAUAUAAUAUUAAUAGUUUAUACUUAUGAGUUAUGUGUCAAAAUAUAUUAAUAUAUAUAAGAAAUAUUAAAUAUACAAAAUAAUGUCAAAAGAUUCAGAAGUACAAAUCUUAGUACGAGUAAAUUGAGGAUCUUUGAAAAUAUAUUGAUUGUCGAUCAUGUUUAUUACUAUUUUUCUUGUAAUUUAAACUAAUUGGAUAUAUUAUUGUUGAAAAAUUCUUGAUUUAUAUACUAUUUAAUGAACUGUUAUUGGUUCAUGUAUAGUUUUAAUGUUGUGGUCCUGUGGAUGUUAAAUUAGUUUUAGAACUUAAUAGUUAUACUAAUUAUGUUAAAAAAAUUAAGGAGCAAUAAGUGAAUUUUAGCCAAACUUGAAUUAGACUUAUAGUCCGAAUAUUUUGUGAAAGUGGUAAUAAUUAUGAGUCGAACCUAUACUUGUUAAAAUCCGACUCAAAUGGCUUGGUUGAUAGGCCUACACAAAUUACGAUGAGGAAACAACAAUAAUCAUGAGGAACUGCCAAAAGUUGGAUAUAAAGGAACUCGCAAAGGCCAAAGUCCACUAAGUUAAUCAAGGGAUAAUUGCAGAAACCUUCCCAGAGGUUUCUGACAUUUGCACUAACCUCCCCUGUGAUUUGAAAAAUUAUACUGACCUCCCCUGAGGUUACAUAAUCAUUUGCAAAUUCAGUCCAAAUGAUUAAAAUAUUGUUUUAGGGAAUGAAAUUAGAAUUUUGUACUAGAUUUGUCCUUUGCGCUACACGUUCAAUGAAUAACAAAGUACUAUAAAUUAAUUAACAAUUAAUAAACUUUAAGGAGUAUAAUUUAUGGACAAAUAUGAAUUACUCAUUUAAAGUACCGGCUCUUUACAGGUAUUUUAUUUUCAAAUAUUUAAUUUAUGAUAAAUAUAUCAAUGUUUGUAAGUAAAAUUCAAAAAGUGUUACAGUAAUAUUCUUGCAAAAAGGAAAUCGGUAGGUUAUUUAUUCAAUAUAAAUUAAAUAUUUUUUAAAAAAAAGAAAUGGUCCAUAAAAUAUUAAUUCUUUAUAACUUCCAUCCAUUACAUGAGUAAAGUAUUGGCUCUUUAUGGGCAUUUUAUUUUGAAUCAUUUAAUUUAUGUUAAAUACAUAAAUGUUUGUAACUAAAAUUGAAAAGGUGUUAUAUUAAUAUUUUUACGAAAGAGAGAUUGGUAGGUUUUGUAUUUAACAAAAAUUAAAUAUUUGAAAGUAAAUACAAAUCUGUAUUUGAGCGUAAAUAUUUGUAUUAAAUUAAAUAUUUGAAAGUAAAAUACCCGUAAAGAGUCGAUACUUUAAAUAGAUAAUGCGUAUUUGGCUAUAGACUAUACUCUUUAAAGUUUAUUAAUUGUUAAUUGAUUUGUAGUACUUUGUCAUUCAUUGGACAUGUAGUACAAAGGGCAAAUAUGGUAUAAAAUUCUAACUUCAUUCACUAAAACAAUAUUUUAAUGAUUUGGACUGAAUUUGUAAAGGAUUAGUGAGCUCAGGGGAGGUCAGUGUAAUUUUUCAAACCACAGGGCAGGUCAGUGCAAAUGUCAGAAAUCUCAGGGGAGGUUUCUGCAAUUAUUCCUUUAAUCAAUGUGCUAAGUUGGUUUUAAAGGAACUCCCAAAGUGCACUAAUUACGAUGACGAAACAAUAAUAAUGAUAAAGUAGAAACAUUCAACAAUAAUAAUGAUAAAAGUAGAAACAUUCCGGGGACUCAACUCUUCCACCAUAAGUGCGUGACCAAUAACAGCCCUCCGGAUGUGUUUCUGCAUUCAUGCAAAAUGUGAAACAGAACGUGAGCUUCUAUUACUCAGUAAUUUGGCUAUGGCGGAUUUGGCUAGUAUUUACACGAGCAUCACUCUUAAGGACUUCUAGUUAUUACUUCAAUGGUAUUCUAUAUUAGUUAUCUUUUCCUUUUUCUUUUGGCCCAAGGGGAGAGGGGUUAGGAGAGGGCCUGAAAGUUAAAUUUUACAGUUAUCUGACUAGCAUCCUAUCCUUGCUCAUAUAUUGUACUAUCCUUUUAUUAGCAAUAAAAUCUCUAUCGUUUCCAGAAAAAAAAAAGACUAGCAUCCUAUCAACUAAAUUAGGUCUUGAGGACUUCAGGGUUUUGUUUUUAAAAGUUUUUGCAUGUAAAUGAACAUGUAGGUAAAACUUUUUUUAAUUUGCACAACAAGAAUAGUUAGUUGCAUGUCAAAUAUACAGAUUUAGAAUUUCAAAUUUACAUAGAGUUAAAUUGCUUCCGAUUGCCACACUUCAAAUUUUCUUAAAAUAUAUACUUGUGAGUAGAACUUUUUUUUUUUAUAUAUAUAUUUACAUAGCAAGCCUAGUUAGGUGCAUGUCAAAGGUAUAGAAUUAAAAUUCAAAUUUAAAUAGGGCUUAAAAUGCUUCCAAAUGCCCUCACUUCAAAUUUUCCUAAAAUAUAUACAUAUAACCCAUAUAAGGUGUUAGCCCUCGGGGGCUUGGUCUGGUGGUUGAGGUUGCUGAAGAUGGAGCCUCAGGUCCCUGGUUCGAACCUUGCUGCCAGCAAGUUGCUGAGGGUGGUGAAUAGUCUGCGGGGUCCACUCCUUGCGGGACACACCAAAAAAAAAAAAAAAAAAAAGGUGUUUAUGUUUGUUAUGUGUGUCGGCACAGAAUAAGCAUGCAAAAUAGAGGGAGUGGAUCAACAUACAAUUCAAACAAUACCAUUCACCUAAACUUCUUAUUCUGUGCAUGCAGGAUUGAAGAACCAUAUAUAUAUAUAUAUAUAUAUAUAUAUAUAUAUAUAUAUAUAUAUAUAUAUAUAUAUAUAUAUAUAUAAUAAAUACAUACAUACAUUCAUACGUAUGUUACACGUAUCCAAAGAGUAACUACUCAGUUUUGUUGUCAUGCGAAUUAUGUAAUUCGCCCACAAAGGAACACAUGGUUUAGAACAAACUCGUAUUAUAGUAUAUUAAAGACUUUUCAUGUUAAAUACAAUUGAAACAAAAAAAAAAAAGGUUAAUCGAAAGUUUGGGCCAUCGAAAGUCUCAAAUCUAAGUGGCUCGCAAGAACCAACUUUUGAUCCAGCACACAACAAACUCAUACCAGUUGAUUCUUCGUAUCAACUUUUGGAGGCCAAUCGCAAGGUUAGUUUUCAAAAUCUAAACAGCCAGUUCGCUAUCCUUGAAAGUCAGCCAAGCUAACAAGUAAAUGAGAGAAAUGCUAGCAUAAAACAGAUAUGGCAUCUGUGACAUCUCUGAUGAAACCUAUCCAUAGAUUUAACAUUAUGGAGAAGUAAGAUCUUGUUGGUGAAUUAUGUUUAUAGUUGCAAGAUUUUUGGGUCAACCAUGACUUGAAUUCAUCUUGGACCUAGUAAUAAUUUUUUAUGCUCUCAAAUUGUUUGAAGAAACAACCAAUAGAAAAUCUUAGUAAAAUUUACAACGAGCUACGGCUGGACACCAUGGCUGGGCUGAAGGGCCAGGGGGCUCCCCAUCCGCCAGGAAGUCCUUUUCCCAACUUUUUACCAAACUAGCCGCCUCACCCAUUCAGCUCCGACCAGUGACUACCUACAAAGGAGAGGCAGCGGUCUUCUUUCCUAAAGCUGAUGCGGAAAAACUCGCUGCCCCAUUUCAAUGGGCCUUAGUGGGGAAAUUUUCCCACGGCAGACCAUCACUGGAGGAGAUACGGAAGUUCUUCUCCACGCUCAACUUGAAGAACCAGGUAACCAUUGGCCUGUUGGACUAUCGUCAUGUGAUGGUGAGAUGUUUGGCAGAAUCGGACUUUACCAGAAUCUGGACGCGAGGGAUUUGACAGCUGGGCAAAUUUCCUAUACGGGUUUUGCGAUGGACGAGAGAUUUCCACGUUCAUAAGGAGUCCUCCCUAGCUCCAGUGUGGUUCUCAUUGUCUUCGUUGCCGGUCCAUUAUUUUGAUAAACAUUAUCUUUACUCGAUUGUUAAUCCUGUGGGGAAACCGCUCUUCUUGGAUGUAGCCACGGUUGCCGGAACGCGGCCAAGCGUGGCGCGGGUUUGCGUGGAAAUGGAUUUGCUGAAACCACUUUGCUCCAGAGUCUGGGUGGCAGUGGAAGGAGAAUCUGGCAUCUGGCAAAAGCUUGUGCUUGAGGACCUGCCCGUAUAUUGCUCUGGGUGCUGGCGCUUGGGCCAUUCGGUGGGAGACUGCAAGAAAAAUGCUAAGAAGCAGGGGGUGUUGAAGACUAGUGUGCAGCCUCUUUGGGUGCAGACUCAAGCUACAGCCAUUCCCCUAUCACACGUGCACCUCGACAAACGGGUAUUGCUCCAUGUCCCGCUGGAUGCAGGGAAAGAAACCCAGGAAAGGCAGGAUCCUAGGUCAUCGACGGGGCAGGAGUCUGAGGGUGAUGUGUCGAACCAGCGGGAUAACGUUUCUUCUAGGCAGGCCGUAAUAGAGGCUCGGCCUGUUGCUAUGUAGCAGGAGGAGCGCAGUGAGAAAGGCUCGCUCCAGGAACACCAUUCCUCAGGAGCGACGGUCGACGGGGAAGGUGAGCUGCCUGAUUUGUGUGGCUUAAGCGAGGAGCAAGACUUGCAUGAGGGUGAGCAGCCUCCUAACCAGUACCAUUCAGGCGUGGCGAAGGUGGUGGUUGCAGGCCAUAUCGAUGCUGGGUCUAUAACGGGAGCAUCUACUGAAUCGGGAUUGCCGCACCCAGCUGGCGGGGAGCAUUUGGAGGUGCAAGGGUAGCUCCAUGGCUUUGAGAUGCUUGCCGUGCAUGGGGGGGUUGCCUCUUCAGGUUUCGCAGGAGCCGAGCAAGUGCCGAUAGGUACGAACAUAGACACGGAUAAAGGAAGGGCCAUUGACCUACCCUGGGUUGCGGGCAACCUAUCGCCAAGAAUGGUGACCAUACCUGAAACUGAGCCAGCUUCGUUGGUGGUGGAAUUGAACAUUGAUCAUGAUGGAGGCAUACACGAUAUCACCAAACCGAGGGCAAUGGGAGCUCGCAUUCGUAUGCCGUCUGAUAGAAAGCUCAGGUCAGCAACAUCUUCUCAAAACUCUUGCCAGGAUUUACAUCGUGAUUAACGAACUGUUAUGGAAUAUUAGAGGGGUGGCUCGUGCCCUAAAUUUGCGUAGACUUCGUAAAUUAGUACGAUUACAUGAUGUUAAAUUUGUGGCUAUAUCAGAACCUAAGCAACCUAUUUGCAGUGUUGAUCACAUUCGCAUGCGAUUGUCGUUUGAUUCAGUAGUUGUUAACCCUUCGAAAAAUCUCUGGGUCUUUUUUAGUAGCCCGUUUAUAUGCUCGGUUGUUAGUAGUUCGGUUCAACAUAUUACGUUGUCGGGUCCUUUGCUCUUCUCAUUUGUUCAUGCAAAAUGUACAAUGGAAGAACGUCGGAAGUUGUGGCACCACUUGCUGAGGGAUAAAUCCAACGUUUCGCUUUGAUGCAUUGGGGAUGAUUUUAAUGUGGUAACGGCUCCCCAUGAAAAAUGUGGACGACGGCUUUAUUCCAUGGUAGAAGGUGUAGAGUUUCUGGUGUGGAUGGAGGAGACGGGGGCUUUUGACAUGGGAUUUUCAGGAUCGAGUUUCACGUGGAGUAAUAACAGGAGGGGGCGAGCGCGAAUUUGGAAGCGGCUGGAUAGACUGUUAAUCAAUGCGGAGUGCCUAGAUAUUGCUUCGGCAAUAUCUGUUGUCCAUAUGGCACGGCACCCUUCGGAUCACUCUCCACUAAGAAUAUCUUUUGCGCUACGACUAGACAACAAACCACGACCUUUUCGCUCCUUGAAUGUAUGGACAGCAAGACCAGACUUAUUGGAGGUAAUUCAACGUGUGUGGAAUGAGAACAUGCAGGGUUUGCCCUUGCGGAUUUUAUGUUCUAAAUUGAUGGCGACACGGCAGGGCAUUCAGGAAUGGAAUAAGCAGUCCUUCAGGAAUAUAUUUGAUACAGUUCGGGAGGCAGAGGCGGGGGUAUUGAGAGCCAAGGCGGCUGUGGAGAAUGAAGCCUCGGAGGUUGCAUAGGUUGAGCUACAGAGAGCUCAAGCAGACCUUACGAGGUCGAUAACAGUCAAAGAGCAAUAUUGGCAGCAAAAGGCAAGAGUGAAGUGGCUUCGUAGCGGGGACCGGAACACCAAAUAUUUUCAUGCGGUGGUCAAGCAGAGGAGAGUGCAAGGAAUGAUUUACAGAAUUAGGACGGCAGAUGGGCAGUGGGUGGAGGAUGACGACACAAUAGCAAAUGAGACGAUCGCACACUUUUCGGACUUUUUUUCAAGAGCCACGUCCUCCGCCUCGGACAGGCUAAUAGAUUCAAUUCCAUCAUUGAUCACGGGGGAGGAAAAUUCGAUGUUAGAGGAGGUGCCGACCCUGGAGGAAAUCAAACGAGUGGUGUUUGCAAUGGAUGGGGAUAGUGCUGCGGGAUCAGAUGGGUUUACAGGUAGGUUCUUUACACUUGCGUGGGACAUCAUUACUAGUCAUAUCUAUAGGGCAGUGAUUAGUUUCUUUUGUGGGACGAAGUUACCUCGGUUUGUCACAUCUACCUUCAUAGUGCUCCUUCCAAAAGUUCCAAACCCCUAAAAUUUCUCCAAGUUUCGACCGAUUAACCUCUGUAAUUUCUUUAAUAAACUGAUUUUCAGAAUAUUGAUGGGCCGUGUAACUCCGAUUUUACCAAAACUCAUCCUCCCUCAGCAGACGGGGUUUGUCAAAGGGCGGACCAUCACAAAAAAUUACCUAUUAGCCCAAAAACUGAUAACGGACAUUGGUAAGAAGUCACAGGGGUGUAAUGUGGAUUUAAAACUGGACAUGGCGAAGACGUAUGAUCGGAUAUUUUGGUGCAUAUUAUUAGUAUUCUGCGAAAAUUUGGCUUUGGGAAAAGAUUUAUAGAUAUGGUAUGGCAUCUAGUUUCGAAUGUCUGGUUCUCGGUUCUUAUUAACGGGGUGUCCUAUGGAUUUUUUAAAUCUAGCAGGGGGUGCGGCAGGGAGACCCCCUAUCCCCCGUACUUUUUAUUAUUGGGACGGAGGUGUUAUCACGCGACUUAAAUAAUUUAACUUGGCAAGUGGGUUUUAUGGGAUUUAGGGUCCCAAGGGGCUGUCCUACGGUUACGCACCUCGUUUUUGCAAACGAUGUGCUAAUUUUUUCGAAUCGGUCUACUGCUGCACUAAAAAGCGUUAUGCAAGUGUUGGGGGAGUAUCAGCAUUCAUUGGGCCAGUUGGUGAAUAUCCAAAAGAGUGGGUACCUAAUGCACCCGUCCAUGUUCUCGGCUCGUAAAAGUGUGAUUGAGCUCGUCACACAGUUUUCGAGGCAGGCUUUUUCAUUUCAAUAGCUUGGUUUCCCUCUGUACAUCGGCAGGAGUAAGCCGUCAUACUUUCAAGAGGUUGGUCAGGCUAUGCUGCGCCGAAUCGUCUCCUGGAAAUCAAAGUUUCUUUCCUGGAGGGGAAACUAACCUUGGUCAGGCAUGUUUCGAUGUCCAUUCCAGUACACUUGUUGGCAGCGGCUGUGAUACUAGCCUCGGUGUUCAAAAUGGUGGAACAGGUAUGUACAAAUUUCCUCUGGGGUGAAUUGGAGGUAAGGCUGAAAUACUAUUAAAUUGGAUGGUCUUAGUUGUGUUAUCCGCUUGGGGAGGGAGGAGUGGGGUUUAGACGUUUAAGUGAUGUGUAUGCGGCAUUCUCUUGCAAGCUGUGGUGGCAGUUUAGGACGGGUUCGUCGCUCUGGGCAAGUUUUCUUCGGGCUAAAUACUGCAGAGAUCUUCACCCAUGUCAGGUUGAGUCGGCAGGUCUCGGGGAUAUGGCGGAGGAUGUUAAGCGUCAGUCGGCAAGUGGAGUUGUCUAUGGUCUGACUGAUCCAGGAGGGAACGUGUCACUUUUGGUAUGAUAACUGGCUAGGAACCGAUGCCUUGUUUCUUAAAAUCAAGGUGCAUCCAACCCUCUCUUUCAAAGAUUUCAUUACAAAUGGGAAGUGGGAUGCAAGUUUGCUCUCCCGGGUCAUUCCUCUUAACCUUAUCCCUUCGGUCUUACAACAUCCAGUUCCCCAGUAUGGGCGAGCGGAUGAGGUCGUUUGGAGCAUGUCUUCAUCUGGCAAAUUCUCUAUAGCAUCGGCGUUCGAGAUAGUGUGGCAAGGCCGAAGCUCUUUAUUUGUUCACUCUCAUAUUUGGCAUUGUCGUAUUCCGACGAAGGUGCCCUUCUUCAUGCUGCGCUUGUUGCUCGGAUGACUGCCAAUUCCGGACGCCUUCUGUAAGAUGGGAUUUCAGAUGCCUUCCAAAUGUUUCUGCUGUUGUUGACCUUGGUCGAUCAAUCCUUGGUUUUGAUGAUUAACAAACCAAAAUAUAGAUUUGGGCUAAUGUUUUUAUGUGAGCAAUUUGUUAGAACAGAUUCUUGUGGCACAAAAGAAGAAGCAAAAACAGGACACUCAUGUCGGACGUCCGAAAGGAUGAAGAACAUCAACGGACGCACGCAUCGGACGCACAUCGAUCGCAUCGGACGUCCGAGAAAUUUCGCAAAGAUUUGAUGACUCUCUGACGACGUUCGGACGCAGGGUUCGGACGUCCGACAGGUGGUUUGGACGCAGGGUUCGGACGUUCGACAGGUGGUUCGAACGUCCGACAGGCCAACGGCUAGUUUUGACAGCAUUUAAUAUUUGACCGUUGGAGAGUCUUUUGGAGCCAUUUCUCACCUUCUAUAAAAACCCCAAAGCACAAGAAGACAAGGGACUUUUGCCAACACAAAAUACAAGCUUACAAGUGAGAUUUUUGAAUAGAAAGAUUCUUUGUUGGUUGUAUAAGGGGUUGGGAAAGUUGGGUUGUGAGGUUGCUGAAGUGAAGGUUACUCUCUAAGAGGAGUAAAACCUUGGUGAAGGUGAACCUAUCACUUGAAGUGGUAAAACCUUGGUGAAGGUUGCCUCAUUUGUAUAAAAUAGUUCUUAAUUGGGUGAGUGAUCUUUCAAGUGUAGGUUGUUGAGGGUUAAUUAGAAUAGUUGUAAAACUCCUUGGCUCAACCAAAGUGUGUUUGGGGUGAGGAAGGAGUGAGCCUUCACUUGUACAUCUUGGUUAGCAUCGCCAUCAAUUGAAGAGGCUAUUGGAUUGAUAUUUGGUUUGCAUUUCUUAUCUUUUCUCUUUAAUUAAGUUUUCUUUAUUGUGCUUAAAUUUGAUAUAUCUUUGUGCAUCAUUGUGAUAUUGUUUGUACUCAUUGGGUUGCACCGGGCACUUACAAUUGGUAUCAGAGCUUGGUCUCUUUUGAUCAAGCUUAACCGCUUAGAGUAAAGAUCAUGGCAACCAUAAAAGUUUCUUUUUUAGAAGGGCAAUCUAUUGAUAGACCACCUAUGUUUAAUGGUUCUCAUUUUAGCAUGUGGAAACAAAGAAUGAUGAUUUUCUUACAAUCCGUUUAUAUUGAAUUAUGGUAUGUGGUAGAAGAUGGUCCUUAUGAAACUAGAAUAGUUGACUCUACCACCAAUUUGAGUAGAUUAAAAACUAGACAAGAAUUGAAUGAAAAAGACAAGAGAUACCUUUCUUUGAAUGUCAAGGCCAUGUAUAUAUUGUGCAUUGCAUUAGAUGUAAAUGAAUCUGGUAGGAUUAAAGGUUGUAAAUCAGCUAAAGAUAUUUGGGAUAAAUUGUGUGAAUUUCAUGAAGGUAACCAAGAUAUUAAAGAACAAAAGAAAUCUUUACUUGUUUCUCAAUAUGAAUUUUUCAAAAUGCAUCCUCUUGAAAAUGUUGAUAAGAUGUGUAGUAGAUUUUGUGACAUUAUUCAAGAUUUUAAAUUGCUUGGAAAAGAAUAUUCUUUGGGUGAGAAAAAUAGAAAGAUUUUGAAUGCCUUGCCAAAAGAAUGGGAAAAUAAAAUAAAUGCUAUAGAAGAGGUAAAGGAUUUAAAUUCUAUGUCCAUUGAAUCUCUUGUGGAUACACUAAUCUCUUAUGAAUUAAAACUGAAAUUCAAAGUGCAAGAGAAAGAAAAUGCAAGAAUGUAUAAGAGAGGCAUAGCUUUUAAAGCAUCUCAAGUGGGGGAUAACCCAUCCUUCAUGGGUAAUGAAAUCAUGGAAGUGGACAAUGAUAUAACUCCUCACAUCAAAAGUUUCAAGAAGAUCUUCAACAAGAGAUGUUCAAGAGGAGAUUGCAAAAUUACAUGGGAUGAAUGCAAUUCAAAAAGAGAAAAAGAAGAGUUGGCCCAAAUGGCACUAAUGGCCGUUGGAGAAGAUGAGGUAAGUUCUUAUCACUCUUCUUGUGAUGAAGAUAAUGAAGAUGAUGAUGUGAAAAUUCUUAUGAUUAAAAUGCAUAAAAGUUUGAGAAAAUCUUAUGCUAAAAAUAAAGAUUUGAAAACAAAAAUAAAUGAUUUGUUGGAAGAAAACUCCAAUCUUUUUCAAGAAAACAAAUGUUUGAAAAAGGAAAAUGAUGAUUUGAAGAAAUGUAAAAUGGCUUUUGAUUGCAAAAAUAAUUUGAAAAAGAAGUUGGAAGAGAAAACAAAGUUUUAUGAAAAAAUGUUGGAGUAACAAAAUUUGUUAAAGAAAAGAAUUAAUGACUUGAACGAGUUUCUCCAAAAUGAAAAAGAAAAGUUCUCUCAAACAAAAGAAAGAAAAUCUUUUCAAGGCACAAAUAAGUUUGCUAUGAUAAGAGGUAAGGAAAUUAGUUGCAUUAAAUCCACCUAUGUGCAAAAUACUUCUAUCAUGUGUCACUUUUGUUGCAAAUUUGGACAUAUGCAAAAUGAUUGCUAUGUAAAGAAAAAUAUGAGAAAAGGCAUGAAAUCCUUGUGGAUUGCUAGAUCAUGUCGUAUUAACUCCCAAGGACCCUAUAAAGAAAGGGUACCAAAUGAAAUUUCUCAUAUUUAGGUACAUCAUGAAGAUUUGAUCCAAGAAGUGCUAUAUGGUUGUAAGUACAAUUGAAAAUUUUGAUAUUUAAUAUGGUCUUGAUUUGAAAAAUAAAGGGGGAGUUUGUUUUUUUUUGAUUGAUGCCAAAAGGGGGAGUAGAAUUUAUUGAAAUUUCUUUAUAUGUUGGCACUUUCUAAGGGGGAGCUUUAUUUGAACUUAUUUGAUAAAAGAAAUCUUCAUUUUGUUUGUCAUCAUCAAAAAGGGGGAGAUUGUUGACCUUGGUCGAUCAAUCCUUGGUUUUGAUGAUUAACAAACCAAAAUGUAGAUUUGGGCUAAUGUUUUUAUGUGAGUAAUUUGUUAGAACAGAUUCUUGUGGCAUAAAAGAAGAAGCAAAAACAGGGCACUCAUGUGGGACGUCCGAAAGGAAGCUAUCGGACGUCCGAAAGGAUGAAGAACAUCAACGGACGCACGCAUCGGACGCACAUCGAUCGCAUCGGACGUCCGAGAAAUUUCGCAAAGAUUUGAUGACUCUCUGACGACGGUCUGACGCAGGGUUCGGACGUCCGACAGGUGGUUCGGACGUCCGACAGGCCAACGGCUAGUUUUGACAGCAUUUAAUAUUUGACCGUUGGAGAGCCUUUUGGAGCCAUUUCUCACCUUCUAUAAAAACCCCAAAGCACAAGAAGACAAGGGACUUUUGCCAACACAAAAUACAAGCUUACAAGUGAGAUUUUUGAGUAGAAAGAUUCUUUGUUGGUUGUAUAAGGGGUUGGGGAAGUUGGGUUGUGAGGUUGCUCAAGUGAAGGUUACUCUCUAGGAGGAGUAAAACCUUGGUGAAGGUGAACCUAUCACUUGAAGUGGUAAAACCUUGGUGAAAGUUGCCUCAUUUGUAUAAAAUAGUUCUUAAUUGGGUGAGUGAUCUUUCAAGUGUAGGUUGUUGAGGGUUAACUAGAAUAGUUGUAAAACUCCUUGGCUCAACCAAAGAGUGUUUGGGGUGAGGAAGGAGUGAGCUUUCACUUGUACAUCUUGGUUAGCAUCGCCAUCUAUUGAAAAGGCUAUUGGAUUGAUAUUUGGUUUGCAUUUCUUAUCUUUUCUCUUUAAUUAAGUUUUCUUUAUUGUGCUUAAAUUUGAUAUAUUUUUGUGCAUCAUUGUGAUAUUGUUUGUACUCAUUGGGUUGCACCAGGCCUUACAGCUGUCAUGAUGGAGCAAGUGAGACGUUGGAGCACCUCUUUUCGGAAGGACAGAUUGCAACGGAGGUAUGGACCUUUUUUACUAGUUUAAGUGGUCUCAAGACUGUCGUGUCAGCAUUGCGGGCUCGGGUAGUGGCUUGAUGGUUGGUGGCUCCGAGACCGGAGAAAAGGCGUCUCUUCUUCAGGAUUUUGCCUAAUUAUAUUUGUUGGCACAUAUGGAAGGCAAGGAACAAUGCGGUAUUUGAGGGGAUCGGGAUGUGCUCGGUCACUAUUCAUCAAGUCAUUAUGUCGGACGUUGUAGUAGAAAUGAAAAUUCAUUAUAAUUAGAGGCUGGGAAGGGUCACGUUUCCCUAGCUGUAUAAUUGGUCGGGUCAACAAGCGGGCGGCAUCAACUAUCAAAUUGUACUGUGGCAAGCAAAAGAGCAGGGAGGUUUAACGCUAAAUAUGGACGGGUGUUCCAAGAGCAACCCAGGUUGGAGUAGUGGGGGAGGGAUUUUUCGGGAUUCUUCGGGCAACCCGAUAUUGGCUUAUUCGGCGUUCUUUGGGAGACGGUCCAGUUUGCACGCAGAAGCCCUGGCAAUGCUAACGGGACUGCGGCUGUGUGUAGAGAAGGAUUUCAGCAGUGUUGACAUCCAAUCGGAUUCUCAGGUUUUGGUAGGGAUUGUUUAAUGCCGCUUCCGAUGCCCGUGGUAGAUUCGUUGCGUAAUAGAGCAGAUCUAGCAAAUGGUGGAAGAUGUCAUGGGGGUUUCUCAUUGUUUCCGAGAGGCUAAUCGUGUGGCGGACAUUCUGGCUAAUGUAGGUAUUUAUCAUCAACAACAUGCCUGUAUUGUAUAUGAGCAUAUCAAUAGUUUUCCAAAACUAGCUAGGGGGGAGUCCCGUCUGGAUAGACUAGGCAUGUCAGCUAUUAGGAGGACAGCAUAGGGGGGACAUUGAGCUAACAUGUGUCGGAAAAUUUGUAAUCCUGCUUUUCAUCUUUUUCCAAUAAAGAAUACUUUAUUUUAAAAAAAAAAGAACUAGAUUAAGGUUUUACAAUCUCCUACUUGUUUAUCCUUCUUCGAGAGAAGCAAAGAUUGUAAAUUUGUAUUUCAGUAACCCAAAAAAAAAGAAACAAAAAAAAGGAAAGAAAAUGCCUACAAACUAUUUACCAAGUCCAAAGAGCUUGAGCCGGGGUUCGCAUCGUAGAGGUCUCAAGGAACUCAUUGUUGCUUUUAAAGUCAAAACCACCCUUCCUUGCAAAUUUCCAGAACUUAUAUUCUUAUUUAACUUAAGAGUCAAAACUCUAUCAAUCUUUUAACAUUGAAAGAAGGAUUUGACCACGAGUAAAGUGGCUUAAGUGGAAUAAACAUGAAGAAUCCAAAUAAUAUGGCAAAGAUUAUGUAAAAGGUCGUGAAACAAUUACCAGAAAAGAGAAGAUUGAAGAAAUCCUAAUGACAGAGAAGCAUGCAAGAAAAACUCAAUUGUUUGGAUAGGAGAUUAUUUUGGAAUAAUUUUUUUAAAAAAUAAAGUAGCACUUUUUUGAUGUGAUAUAUGUGAAAUAAAAUGGUGAUUGAAAAAGGUGUUGAUGAUGCAAACAAGAUAAUGUGUGUAAAUAAAGUGUAAAUAACGUGCAAUCCAAGCACUUAUUUUAAAUAAUGUGUAAAUAAGGUGUAAAUUAUUUUACUCAGAGGAUAGAGAUUAUUGAUCUUAUAGUAUAUAAGUUUGAGUUGAAGCAAUGUACAUAUUCAUCAAUCCAACUUCCCUACAACCAAAGGAACACAUUCACUACUAAGCAUAUUUGAAAAGAUCGGUGAAUGAGACUGAGAGUUCAUAUUUGAAUAGGAGAUGGAAAUUUAAGUUAAAAUGGUACGUGAUUUACAUAUCGGUACUUAAUUAUUUUUAUUAUAUUCUUGUGUAGGAUUUGAUUAGUCAUGGCAAACUGGGCACAUGCAUCCAAAAAGGAAAAAACACGAAUCUGAAAAACACAUCCAUACUUUUCUAAUUGUAUAACAUAAUAUAAUGAUUUGAAAACAUUUUAAUCUUUGAUAUUCUUUGCUCAGUCUUAUGAUAUGAAAACUGAAAUAAUCGCUAAAUUUUAUUAGCAACUCUGAAUUUUUUUACUAAACAACCACAUUAGCUAAAUCUUUAGAAGUUAAAACACUAGAAUUCCACACUGGUUAAGGUCUUUGAAUUGCUUACUUGUUUGAUGAUAAGGAUUAAAUAGACAAGUGACUAUAAAUAAAAGAAACUACGUUAAUUAUAAAAAAACAAAAACGUGGGGGAACUUCUAAAUUUUUUCUACUUUCCCUCUUGUGAACUCCUAAUCAAGGCAUGCAUUACAACCCUAGUUAGUAAAAGUUCGCAUUCUACUACGUCUACGUUCCUAUGUAUGAUUUGAAAAAAUUUUGGUAUUACAUGCCUGUCACAAACACACUGAAAAAUCUAACUUUUCAACUAAUCAUAUCAAAGACGUAAUCAACUUUUGUCAUUUUAUACUUGAGAACAAUACUUCAAUUUCAAACAUACUUUAAGUUUGUAAAAGGAUCUUCUGAGUUAUAAGCAAAUUGGAUGAAAUUCAUAUUUCUAUAUAUUUAUAGAUAUAGAAUGUAUAAGUUUUUUUUUUCUUUUUAGCCAGGGAAUGAUGAGAUUUAAGGAGUGAAAAUGGGAAAAGUAGUAUUAGACCCAAGACGUUUGAUUGCUAAAGCCAUAAAACCAAUAAGAUGAUAAAACUUCAGUUAAAAUAGUGCCUCACACAGAAGGAUAAUGCUUUUAUAUUAACACAGUAUAAUAUCUUAAAAUUAUAGUAAGUUUACCCGCACUUUUAGUUGAUGUCUGCAUACUUUUCUGAUACGUAUUUAUGUUCAUAAUCUUGUCAAACUCAUACUUCUUACACCAAAUUAUAAGUAUAUAAGAAAAUUUUGUAUAACAUAGCUUUUCAUAGUAUUCCUAUCCCUUAUUAUACUAACUACGGUAAACAACCUAAAUAGGCCUAGAACUUUUAAAUUUGUAUACUUAUGUCCCUAACUAGUGAAUGGAUGACCAAGUAUUUCUGUCAUUUGAAACUGUUAACCCUAAUCAGAUAUACUAAUUAAAAUGACGUGGUCAUUAUCUUCUUCCUCUAACCAUGUCUGGUGGGUGCUGUAACUCCUAAGCACCAACCACCAGUCAAUGACCUUUGACCACCACCACCGAUGAACGAUCGAUCAUUGCUGUUCCAUUGUCAAAUGUUGGUGAUAUUAAGCUCUUAACUCCAUUUCUCACGUAAAUUUCAAAUUUAACUUCAGCUUUUAGCGAAUCUUGUUAUGUAAUACUAGAUCUAAAGUCAAAUGUAGCACUUAUUAUUAGGGAUGGCAAUGGAGGCGGGUGACUGCGGGCACCCGCCCCGCGGGAGGCUAAUGAGGAGGGGGUUGGGGCAAGGGAUGGGGCGAGACGGGGGCAAUUUCCCCCCCCCCCCCCGCUUAGAAAUGGGGCGGGGGCGGGGGAGUGUACCCCCGCCCCGCCACCCGCUUAAAAAAAAUAAAUAUAUAAAAUAUAUAUAGGUAUAUAAUUAUAUAUAUAAUAUAUAAUUUAAUUAGUUACAAACUUAUGAUAAUGAUAUUAUUAGUUAUAUGUAUUAUAUGAUGUCUAUUAGUAUAUAGAAUAUAAUUGAUAUUAUUAAUUAAACUAAUAAUUAUAUAUGUGUACUAAUACAAAUUAUUAAUUGGUUAUACUAAAUUUACUAAUACAUUUAUACUAAAUCCCUAAUUACACUUAAUACAAUAACAUUUUUUCUUAAAAAAAGCACAAGUACAAUAAUGAAUUAGUGAUUGUAUUUGUACCAAAAGUGAAAACUUGACUACUUUAGUUAUAUUUAUUUCAUCAUGUUAGAUUGUAUUCAAAUAAUUUUUGUUUGAUUGUUUUUAUAAAUUUCAAUUAUAAAAUUACAAUGAAUAAUAAUUUGAUGAUGUGUUGAUAUUUUAGUACUUGAUUAUUUGUUAAAAUUUAACCAUAAUAAAAUUAUAUAACAAAUUUUUAUUAGCCCCGCGAGAGCGGGGGCAGGGGAGUUCGUAGGCUGCGGGGCGGGGGAUGGGGGAGGGGUCCCCUGCCCCAACCCCACCCCGUUGCCAUCCCUACUUAUUAUCACCUGUUUUUAAAUAUUUAUAAAUCCACUCGCUUUUUUUCCUACUCUUAUCAAGUAAGAUUCAUAGAAAAUAUUGUCUAAGUUUGAAAUGAAAGCAAAAAAUGUAGUGCAUGAGUAUAAUUUUAUUAAAAUUUGUUUGUAGAGUACCCUUGAGUUGGUCAAGAUGGUAGAGCUAAUGUCAUACUUUCCUGUCAAUUUGGAUUCAAACCUCUCCUGGAAUAUCUGUCUGUUGUACAGGACUUGCCUAAUGCGUCUUAAUCUUCCUUGUGGUUGGCGAGUUAUUGCACGGAACGGAGUUUAUUUAGUCGUCAAUCACGAAUGAAAGGUCAUUGGCCGGCAACAUGGAGUUAAGCAGCCACCUAUUGUGCAAGGACCGAACUAGGAGCACGGAAAACCAUCCUCAAGUUCUAGAAUUUCAUACUUUCUUCAUUAAAGAAUUUUAAGAAUUUUUUAAUUUUUCAUUUUUCUAAGCACAAAUUUCCUCUAUAUAUUUAGCUAUUCGACCCUCCAGAAAUUUUCAAAAGUUUUUAUGUUAUGUCAGAAAUUUACAUGUGCAUUCAUGAAAACUGGAAAUGUAAUAGGGAUUUUUAUCUCAGUAACUAGCUUUUUUGCGCAAAGCGAAGUUUUGCCAUUAAGCUACAUCUUUAACUUGACUAGUUUUUGGCAGCCACGCAAACGCAUGGCGGUGACCAAGUACAGUUUAGCAAUUGCAAAAUAUGAAGUAGAUGUUAUUAGUUUAUAAUUCUAGUGCUUCAAAAUGAAAAGUUGUAGGAGUUAAAUCGAAAUAAUAAGUUGGUAAUCUCCAUAGUUAUUUAUAAUGACCACAUAAAAUUCUUAAUAGCAUCAGAAUGAUGUUAUGAUAUAUCCUUAAAGUAAGAAAUCAGAAGGAAAAUCAUGGGAAGGAUGGAGGGAGAAUCAGUUGUUUAUGUUUACAAAGCCAAACUUUAUAAUAAUGCACUCAUUGAUAUUAGUCUAAGUAAUUAAGAAAUUCAAAUCAGGCAUGAGUACAAGAAAAACAACUGUGAAAAGUUAAACAUUGCAGUCCGAAAUUAACUCUGCUUUGUAUAUGUUUGGGACAAAUUCAGCAACCGCUUUCCUUCCAUUGCAUCUAAUAGCAUCCUUAUCAUGCCCUAGUCAAUAUAAGUGGAUUUCCGAAUAUCAAACUGCAUUUCUUGAAAAAGAAAAUCUUCGAUUGGAAAAGAAUACAAGAUAAUGAAAUUCAACAAAUAAAGAGUACAGGAGAAAGAAAUUUUUAACUAUCAAUAUAGCCACAAUAUGUAUACCCCUAGCAAACAUAGCAUGCUAAGCUAAUAAUAUAAUCCAUCAUUGCAAAUCGAAAUCUAUGCACCUAAAAAUCAAAUAUCGGCACCUCCAUAUCAGAGGUAAAAACAAAAAUAUAGACAACAAACACGCUUUUCUUUUCAAUUAUGUGUAAUCUUAUAUUGAUCAACUUAGCCCAUAGAAGGCAAAGAGAAAAUGUAUAAAGUCAGGAAAAAGAUACUCCUAUGUUCUAAAGCAUGCCUCUAAGAAAAAAACAUUUCCAUUUCAAGGACGGUAUACAUGCGUGCAUUACAUUUGCAAAAUUUCGAAUUAAUGAUUCAUUUAUUCAUGCUUACAAAUGACUAUUUUUUCAGUCGGGCUAGUUACUCCAUUUGUACAUUAUUUUUGCUCUUUAAAGUUAUUAAAGUUGUUAUCAACCAAGAUACAAAGUGCUUAGCAGAUUUUAGACAAGCUUGUCUCUAGGAAUAAAUUUAUUUGUCCGAUCCUGAUCAUUCAAAAAAUAGAGUUUAAAUCAUUUGUUGUAUAGUUUAAAAUUGAGUUGUUCAGUUUUCAUUGCAAAACAGAGGGAGAUAAGCAACUCAACCUACCAAACCAGAUACAUGGUAGCUCUGCAACAAAAUCAGUGCAUUAGCUUGAAGGCUCAAUCUAUCGGCCAUUUACAUUUAUUGGCCAUAGGAUAUUUUUACCAUCUGUUUCCUAGCUUUGAUUAUGUCAUUGUUCUUCUUCUGAAUAAUAAAGCCAAGAAAGACAAAAUCUUGCUAUCGAAUAUACAAAUAAGCAGAUAGGAUAAUAUUGUUAACACACGCAGGAAUAAUCAAUCUUCCCAAGGAGUCUAUACAUCAGACAAACUAGGUAAUAAUAACAAAAAGUUAAGCUUAAGCACACAAAGAUUGAUCCCACAAUAGAUCUGUUCAACCAUUGAAUCAUUGAACUCUUGCUGGCAUAUGAACAUCACAAGGUCCUAAAAAUUUUUAGGGAUAAUUUCGGAAUCCUCCCUUGAGGUUUCUAACAAUUUCAACAGCCUUUCUUGAGGUUUAUAAAAUUAGACUUAGCUCCGUUGGCAAAAUUGUGGGCCCAGUUACUUACAUCACAAGGGAAAAAAUUACUCGUAUACCCUAAGACAUUAUGUCUUAUUAGAAACUAAUAUCUAACAAUGAAGUAAUUAGAGCACUGAUUAAUUAUUAGUAACUAAUUUAUGAAAAUAACUCUGAUUAAUUAUUAGUAACUGAUUUAUGAAAAUAACUGUUGAAAAUUUCUUUAAUGAUGAACAAUGACUUGCAAUUACAAAAUAAUGCCAAUUGAUAUACCAAAUAGCGCUAUUUUGUGACUGAUAGAACUUAACAAUGAAUAGAAAUCAGUUAUACACAAUGUUAGAAGAAGGGAUUUGGUAGAAGAAAAAUAUACAGGACAAAAGAAGGUUGUUUAUAAGAAAAUUUUCUUUGAAACUCUUAAAUUUGUGACAGUUUAAAGUAGGAAUAAUUGCAGAAACCUCUCCUGAGGUUUUUGACAAUUGCACUCACCUCUCCUGAGAUUUGGAAAAUAGCACUCACCUCUCCUAAUCUUAAGAUUUUGAUAGCAACUUCAUCCUAUGUUAGAAAAUGUGCCAUUAAAAAAGUCUUUUGGAAAGUGAGAUAAUAAUUUUGUUUCAUUUUUACCCUUUUUGCCUCUUAUGAGGUAGUAUUAGUAAAAGAAUAAAACAUAUUAAGAGAUGGAAACAAUUAGUGAAACUCAGAGGAUAUAUGUCCAAAGAGAACAAUGACAACAGUAAAAUCUGGAAGAAACAACAAAUAUAUGUUUCGAAAUAUGAGGUUCCAAAGCAUAUAAAAAGACUGUUGAUCAAGCACGAAAAUUUACCUUUGAUCAAUGCAACAGAGUUUCUUAUUAUCAUAUUUUAUAGUAUAUUGAUCUCACACUAUUUACUGUAUUUCACAAACAGCUAUGUUCUCUUAUGAUCGACACAACUAUUUCAUCAUACUAUAACUAACACCACAACUUUGUGUAUUAAAUUGAGAUAAUAAAGGAUUGCUUAUCUAUCAUCUUUUGAUUGUCAUAGAUUUUUAACAGAAAAAUUCUUAAAUUUUUGCCUUGAUUUCUGCUUUCUUUCUCCUUUUGUUUCAUGAAUGCAUAAGAUGAAAUAAACUCAACCAAAAUCACCAAAACUUAUUCUUUUAUGAAACCUUAUUGGAGGUUUCUUUCUCCCACAUUUUCUUGCUUCUGCUUCUCUUCUAUGUAGUAAAUAUAUGAUUUGUAUUGUCCUCUCAACUGUUGUCAAUCACAAAAUAGUACUAUGUUGGAGCAUCAAAAUGGCACUAUUUUGUAAGUGCACUUACAGUACCUAAUCAAACAAAAAAUAACUGUUAAUUUUGUUUAAUCAGUUAUCAUAGACUUGUUUAUUGCCCUAAUUUUUUUGCCCCAAAUUUGUUUACUAACAACCUUAAACUCUUAGGGUAUAGAAGUAAAUUUAUCCUAGCUUAUGUCAACUAUAGACCCUAAAUUCAUGCUAAGGGAGAUUAGUGCUAUUUUCCAAAUCUCAAAAGGAGGUGAAUGCAACUAUCAAAAAUCUCAGGGGAGGUUUCUGCAAUUAUCCCUUAUAAGUAAUUUCAUGCAAGUAAAGGAAAAAGGAGGGAAAGAAAGACAAAGUUUGAAUUCUGCUUUAUUCCAAAUUACAAAAAUCAUAGCAAACAUCAUAUUAAAAGAGAUGACUAGCCUAUUUUGUUGAGUCUUGUGAUCAUUAUUAUAGGUUUGUUGCUUAUUUGUGUUGUUUAAUGUAUUUAAUGUGAACGUUUUGAGUAGUAAAAUAUGUAUAUUAAUUGUUUCUAACUUUUAAUUAUUUUGAUUCUUUUACUAAUACAACCUAUAUACAUGCAUAAAGUGUAUUUAUGGAAUAAAAGUUUCAUCUUUUUCCUUAAAAUACUUUUUUGAUGUUACUUUUUCUAACUUAGACUAAUUUUGUUGUAAAAACCUUAAUCUCAUGGGAGGUUUGUGUAAUUUUGUAAAUUUCAAGAGAGGCUAGUAAAAUUGUCAGAAACCUUAAGAAAGGUUUCUGAAAAUAUUCCAAACUUUUAUGCAAACAAGGAUUGUAAUUUUUUGCUGAAAAACUUUUACAUUUUUGUUGAACACAUUUUCCAAUCAUAUUUUUACCUUACAUACAUUAAAUCGCUACGGUACAUUUCUAUAAAAACUCCUAAAAGUAGCAAUCCAAACAAGGUCAUUGCGAUUUUUUGUAGAAAAUUUUUACUUUUUUAAUGAACACAUUUCUAAAUCAGUUUUUUACCUUAUACACAUUAAAUCGCUAUAGUAUAUUUUGCUAUAAAAAUUUUUAAAAAUAGCAAUCCAGACGGGAUUCUAGGGCCAUUAACUUUAGGAGUGGAUAUUAAUAUGGCAAUUAGGGGUGGACAAGAAUAUUCGCGAAUUUGAAGAUCUGAUCCGAUUUGAAAAUUAGGAUAUCCGAUCCGUACUAUUUGACCAAAUCAAAAGAUGGUCGGGUACUCACUUAGAUGCGAAGCAGGUUAGGGUCACAUAAUUAAAAAUGCGUGGUAGUGCCCAAGUACUCUUUAGAAAUUGCAAAUUAUGAAGUAGAUAUUAUUAGUUUAUAAUUCUAGUGCUUCAAAAUGAAAAGUUGUUGGAGUUAAAUCGAAAUAAUAAGUUGGUAAUCUCUAUAGGUAUUUAUAAUGACCACAUAAAACUCUUAAUAGCAUCAAAAUGAUGCUAUGAUAUAUCAAAGUAAGAAAUCAAAAGGAAAAUCAGGGGAAGGAUAGAGGGAGAAUCAGUUGUUUAUGUUUACAAAGCCAAACUUUAUAAUAAUGCACUCAUUAAUAUUAGUCUAAGUAAUUAAGAAAUCCAAAUCAGGCAUAAGUACAAGGAAAACAACUGUGAAAAGUUAACAUUGCAGUCCGAAAUUACUCUCCUUUGUAUAUGUUUAGGACAGAUUCAGUAAUGGCUACCCUUCCAUUGCAUCUAAUCGCAUCCUUAUCAUGCCCUAGUUAGUAUAAGUGGAUUUUCUAAAAUCAAACUGCAUUUCUUGAAAAAGAAAAUCUUCAAUUGGAAAAGAAUACAAGAUAAUGAAAUUCAACGAAAUAAAGGGUACAGGAGAAAGAAAUUUUUAACUGUCAAUUUAGCUAAAGUGUAUAUACCCCUAGCAAACAUAGCAUGCUAAGCUAAUAAUAUAAUCCAUCAUUUAAAAUUGACGGGUUCUUGAUAUAAGUACAAGUUUAUAUCUAAAAUACACUUAUUUGACUGCAAGUAUACAGGUCAAAUAGUAGUUUAGGGCAUAUAUCAGAUCAAUUCCACGAGAAACAACAAAUGCAAAUACUAGAGAUUUACUUACUCUAUUAUUUGGACUAACUAUCAAAUAAAGCAAUAGAAAUCACAAUACUUAUUAAUCAACUAUCUUAACUAAAUGUAGAGUCCACUUAUGGCACAAAAGAUACAAAUGAAUAGAUUUACCUCAUAUUACUACUCUUGUUUAACUAGGGAUUCAUUUUCAUAUUUACCAAAACUCAUUCUCAUGAUGUAAUGGGUUAGACUAGUUUAGUUUUCCCUAUUUUCAUGGUGAAUAACUAGAUCUACUCUUGUGUCUUUUAUUGACGUGCGCGGGGUAUACAUAUAACAUUUAGCUCAUCCACAAUCAAGUUUUACAUUUAUAAACUCCUAAAUACCCCACACGCGAUUUAUCGCAAAUAUACGAAUCGUGAACGAGUAUAGGGUAUUAAGGGUCGAUCCCCCAGGGAAAAUUGCAACUAUCGGUGUUUUUUGAAUUCCUUUAUUAUCUAAACUACCAUAAACAUAAAAUUAAUGAAAAUAACACUAGAAAGCUCCUAGAGAUAUGGAAUUCCUUACUAUACUUGCAAAUGAGAUUAUCGGUUAAGUGAAUCCUAUUAUCUUGGCUAGUUAUGGCGUAAUUUUCUAAUGUAUAUAAAACUUACUCUCGUAGUGAAUCAACUAUACUUGUAGCUAAGCCAUACCUACUUUCGUGGUUAUGAAAUUAACUACAAGGUCAUUUUUUCUAUGAAAUUACAUGAAACAAGUCACUUAAGCAACAAAUGUGCAUCUCUACUCUCGUGAAUGUACUCCCUAGGUUUAUCACUUCCUUGAACUAGUGUUAAAUUCCAAUUCCAUUACAAACUUAACACCUUUAGAUAAUCACAAUUAAUGGCCGGUUAAUCAUGAUUAGGAGAGCAAAAGUGAUAAAUAACUUGUUUAAAAUAAUAUCAUCAUAUAACCAAAUAAACAUCACUAACAAGAUAUAGUAAGUUCAACCAUAACUCUAGGCAUAAAUUUUAACUAAACAUGAAAAUAAGAUCCAAACUUGUAUUAUAGUUAAACAUGAAAUCAAAUACAAAAGAGAAAAUGAGAGAAGUCACCCUUGUCACAUGAGCUUCAAACUCUCCAUCUUUACUCCUCCAAUGUUCAUCCAAAUCUAACUACAAAUACAAGAAGGAAACACUAUACUAACUAAUCUAUACUACCCUAACUAAUGAACUAAGGAAACUCUAGUAAAAGUUACAUUUUUGGUGAGUUUCUCUAGCCUUCCAAAAUUGUUAAAAUAUCCUCAAAGGGCUUCUAUAUAUAGAGGAUUCAAGAGCCAAAUGAGUUGUUUCUAGUUGUCAUUUUUGACUCUUAAAACUCUCUAAGUUUGCUUCUCAAAGUUUCCAUACUCAUCUGAUCAUUUCCAUACUCAUGUAUAAAAUUAUUUUAUACAUACAAAACAUCAAAAACAACUCACAAAUAUACAUACAAAAUUUUUAAUGUAUAAUGCUAUAGUAAAAUAUUUCAAAAAUAUCCCCAAAAACAGUUAAUCCAAACCAUGUCACUUGUUAGACUUGUACGGGUGUUUAGUAUCUGUUUAGGUGGGCGAAACCUUCACAGGACUCACCAAUUUUGAGUUUUUAAAUAUUAAAAAGCAUAAAAAAUGUGUUAAUUUUAAAAAAAUUACAGUCAAUAUAUUAUAUACAUGUACACAAAUAUGCGUACACACAUAUUAUAGACACGCACACAUGCACCACUAUACACUACUAAUAAAUACAAAAAAUUUGAUAAAACUAAGAAAUAAAAUAUAACUAAAUAUUAUUCUCUAACGAGUACAAUCUUAUCAGAAUCAGCACAACCACAAAUGUUUCAAACAAAUACAAAUCACAACAAGUAUCAAUAUGGAAUGGUAAUUUAAACUCACAAUCAAAUAAAAUAUAACAAACUUACGCGAUAAAAUCAAGGACGACAAACUUAGACAAUAAACUUAAUAUCCUGAAUUUUAUUCUAUUUUUACUAGGAAUUAUGACCAUUGAAGUGUCCAAAUUAAGACUAAUGCUCAAUUGCUCAAACCUGCAGCUUAUGUUCCGUUCAAAACAAAAUAAAAAAAGGAUCAAGGUCUAAAGUCUAACCCUACAUUAGUCAUCUAAUCAUAUUAGCAGAGAAUAAUCAUAUCUUGAUAUCAAUGGAAAAGGAAGAAAUGUAUGUUUGAAAGAAAAUUAGGUCUCAAUUAAGACUUAAAAAAAAAGGCCAAAAUGGCCCAAAUGUCCAGGCGCUUCCUCUACAGUCAAGGAGGAACACCCAACAAGACUUAUAGCACAAGCAAUUGCCUUGGGCCAUUUGAAGAAUGCCCCACUCCAGGGCUCACCCCAAUAAUGCAUUUUAAAAUGCUAAUCCGGAUAAAUUACAAGCUUGUCCAGUUUAACGCACCUUUGCUUUGCUUUCAAGAGCCAUAAGCUUUGACGGAACAAUGAUCCAUGUACUGUCAUAGGGCACUCAAUUUUCAAGAACUCAGUGUUUGACGAACGAUGAAUUCACUGUCACUGGCGCAUCUCAAUUGAAUCCUGUACCAUCUUUUGGAAAAUGCUUCAAUAUGUUGCUUGCAGAGCCAUACACGAGCUAAAAGGAGCUGAGUACUUGGGUUUUGAGCUCGAUUUGAUUAUUUAAUGAGCCCGACUUGAGCUUGACCAAUAUAUCAAAUGAGUCUGAAAUUGUGUUUGAGUUUGACUGAUAAAAAAAAAUUUCUGUGUUCAAGUCCAAACUCGAAUUUGAAAAGGCUCAAAUAAACCUGAAAGUUCUACACAAAAUUUCAACCUAACGAGUCCAUUUUAAUGAACCUACUGAAUAGGUAAAAUACCAAAUAAAAGAAGGUACUUACAUGCUUAAUACAAUAUAUUUUCUAAACAACGACAAUCUAACUGUACAUAAUUACCAAAGUAAAUUAGAUAUACUAACUCCAUCACAUGUAUAAACGACAGCUGAGUCAAGCCUGUCUAUUUACUAAACGAGCUUAAUUUUAUGUUCAAACUUGACUCAUUUAAUUAAACAAAUAAACCAAGCUCCAGUGAGGUUUCUCUCCAUUCUUCACCUGUAUUUAUGGUAAGAAACCAGGCUGAAAUAGUAAGAAAUAAACCAGGCCGAAUAGUUGCUAAUUAUAAACAAUUACAGCUGAGCUUGCAAAUAGUUUGGUUCCUUUUAAGAGCUCUAGUUGCCUCCUUCAGUUCCCAAAGUCAGUACAGCUACUCUUGUGAAGCAAAACCGCGACGCGUUUAGUGUUCAAAUACCAUUGUCCAAGCGGCCGGGAGCGUACGAGCCCAAUGCUCCAAUAGUCUUGGGUGCAUGUCAGUUGAAGCAUCAGAUAUUUGAGUAUGAUCUGUCUAGGUCUCGGUUGGGUUUAAGGUUGACCCUAAAGGCUGAUUCCACUACCUGUGACAAGCUCAAAUUCGACCCUACGCCAUAAGUUGGAUAACGACCAGAAUUCUGAUUUGAUCAUUUUGCCUGCCAUGGAUAUACGAACGACCCUAUUUGUUUCUCUUUGUGGUUCUUGUUUUGUGCUUUGUGGUAUUAUUAGAUUUUUUCCUUUUCAUAAUGAAGUCUUUACGAUUACCUACCUAUGAACAUAUGUAUUACCUAGCUAUGAAAAUGUGGAAAUAUUUGGCUUAUUUGGAUAAGGUGUUGGUCUAUCAUGACAACAAAAAAAAAGCACACAGGUUGAGGAUCUUGAUGUCCACUUCGUUCCGAAGAGAACUAUAAGUGAAUAAGUUAUCAUAAAUGAACAAACUACAACUAUAUAUAGUAAUCUUAACCACAAAGAUAAUAAACUAACAUAGUAAUUUUUUCUUAUUGAAUGAGAUACUCGCAUAUGAGUAUGCAAAUAUAUCUCAGAUAGAUGCACACAACGAUAAUCAUAUAACAGCCAGAAAGUUGCAUACUAGAUUUGCAACCAUAUAACAGCCAGAAGGUUGCAUUACCAUUUUUUCCCUUGAAACCUUACAUUGCAUCCACCCAAGGAUCACGAUUCCACAGGACUGCAAUGGGGCUUCUCACAAUAUGCUGCUGCCCAUCAGUCCAUUCCAGAUACCCAAAAGCAGAAGUAGUGUUGCCUAUUGUCUCAAUUGCAGCACUCGUAAAGGUGACUUGGUAGGACAAGGUGUCGCUGUAUUGGUCGAACGCCAGCUUAUCUGGCGUCACUUUGACCUCCACAAACUCAGGAGGAAUCCCUGUGACAGUAUACACUGCGGCUGCUGUGCUCUCGACUUUUCUAACCCUUCUUGUAUGCGUAACUACGGUUCUCUGACGACUGAAAACCACAGAGAAAGAGGGAUAGUUGACGUCUCCAGGUGUAAUCCCUGGACGGCAGCUCUCCGGAUUCGAAACAAAGACUGCAAUUCUAGUCUGAGUAUACCCAAUAGAACACAAGAACUGCACGUAAUCGCUAGUUCCCAUGUCGUAAACCAAGCCCGGAUUAAGGGCCUUGUUAGGAUCCACAUGACCCGAGCCGUGAGCAAAUGGGGUGGAUGCUACACCAGUGGCAAGGUCCACAAUGUUACUCCCAUUGUUGUCGACAUUAUAGGCAGUGGUCAUAAUAGCUGAUUUUAUCGCUGCCGGAGACCAGUAGGGACGAGCUUUGCGAAGCAGAGCUGCUAUUCCACUGACGUGAGGGCAUGCCAUGGAGGUGCCGGAUAUAAUAUUGAAAUCCACUCUUCUCUUAUCUAUGUUGCCGUCAAAACGGGAUGGAUUAGCAAACUUGGACCAGGCGGCUAAGAUAUUCACUCCAGGAGCAAUAACAUCCGGUUUUAAAAUCUCCGGUGUAAUAACAUUUGGACCACGGCUGGAGAAUACCCCCACCCGUGGCGCCGAUGGUGUUAUCCACACCACCGUUCCUCUGAAGAUAAUUGUAGCCGUCGGUGCUAAUUGGGACCUGACGUAGUUCUUAAUUAUGUUGCCGUUUGUUACCCCCACCAUGGUGGCUGGAAUUAGAUGGGCUUCCGACUUGAGUUCCUCCACUUGUUCCUCAGUGUUGGCGAGUAUCAUCCCCACGCCACCGGCGAGGUGGACUGCAUAUCCUUUGGCAACUCCCCCAGUAUUACCCCCAACGUCGCACACCACAAUCUUUCCCGUGACCAUGGAAGGAACGAGUUCUCCUUGGCGACAGAAUCUGUUUCCAGCACCUGAGGCGUAAACCAGGGGAAGCAGAGCAUUCACUAGAGGGUUGCCAUGGUACAGAGACACACCUUGUAAAAUGCUUCCGUCGCCAAGAACAACAUCCGUUGGAAACUCCCGAUCGAUGGUGGAUGCACCAACAGAAAGAAUCCAAGGUGCAAUAUUGGCGACAGUCCCGUAGCUAGGACCAGAAUUUCCCGCUGAAGCAGAAGUAAGAAUUCCGCGCUCUGCAGCAUGAAAUGCAGCAAUUGCAAUUGGAUCCUCGUAAUAAUGCCUAGCUGGGCUUCUGCCGAGGGACAACGAAAGCACAUGAACUCCAUCUGAUAUAGCUUGAUUCAUGGCUGCUAAUAUAUCCGAAUCGAAACAUCCACCUCCCCAACAGACUUUGUAUGCUGCAAUCCUGGCCUUAAUCGCCACUCCUUUGGCUUCGCCUGUAGCAUAUUCAUAGAAACCUGCACUCCUGACCACCGACCCAGCUGCUGUAGACGCCGUAUGCGUUCCGUGACCGUCGUCAUCCGUAGGCGACCUAGAUUCUCCCAUCUCCUCUAAGGACCUUCUCAUGGAUUCCUCGUAUCCUCCGUAAUAAGAUCUGGCACCAAUGAGUUUUCUGUUGCAUGAACCUGAGGGAAAGUCCAACGCUGUUUCGCAUCCUCCUCUCCAGCUUGAUGGAACAGGAGAAAGGCCUGCAUCGGAGAAGCUAGGAUGGUCAGGCCGAAUGCCGGAGUCAAGGAUGCCGAUGAUGAUGUCCUCACCAUAGUUGGUGUUGGGCCAGAUGCCCCAGGAGUCAGCUAGGCCUAGGAAUUGAAGGCUGCGGGUGGUUUGAAGCUGGGAGAUGCUGUCUGGGAUGACAGACAGAAUUCCGGGUUGAUGACGGAGCUCUUCAGCCUGGGAGGCGCUAAGGCGGGCGGCAAAGCCAUGGAUAGCGUGCUCGUAGGAAUAGAGGAGUUUGGUCUUGGGAAGGUCAUAAUACACGUUACUUGGACUCUGGUAUGGAAGUACCGUGGACAAUGGUUCAGCAGGGCAAACUAAAGAGUAGGAGUAAUAUGUGUCAAGAUCAGUGGAUAGAGGAGAGAGGGACUGGAGAAUAGAGGAGUACCAGUCAUGGUGGGAGGUGUUAACGGGUGGCUUUACGGACUCGGAGACGUAAACAAUGUAGGUUUUAUAACCGUAGUCGGAAGAGGCAGCAACUAUCCUUGCAUGGAUGCAAAAGAGGAAGAUAAGGAGAGAUAAGAAAGCUAGAGAAGACACGGCAGCCAUUGGAGACCGUGGGGUUGAGGAGAGUAAGAAAAUGCGUGCAAAUUAAUCAGGCUCCUGAUUGAACAUAUAAGAAAUUAUGAGAUGAUGAUGAUCUGUACUCGGUAUCUGUAUGAUUGGUUGGUCUUGCUGGGACACGUCGUAAAAUUUUGCUGGUUAUGCUGGUCUUCUGAGUCUUUUUCACAUUUAACAAAGCUUAGACAGGCCAAGAAACUUGUGAAACUUUUGCAAUGGGAAAAUUAUUUCAAAGGUUGAGCAGCUUUCAGAGACCAUUAAUGAUGGCUUGGUGCAUAGUACUACUAUUUAAUCGUUUUGAAGCUGUCAUAUCAUAUACCAGUAGAAUACAGAAAGAGUUGAUCACUAGUUUUAAAACUCCCCAUUUUACCGAAGAAGAUCUCGAUAUUUGAUGCUUAAUAUUACUGUCAUCCAAUUAUGAAUAACUAUAAUGGAGGAGCAAUAGAACAUUAUGCACCGUUGGAUUGAAGGAAUGGGAAGGGAAGGGAAGGAAAGGAGAAGACCCUCAUGGAAAAAGAAAGAAACGAGAGUAGAGGGAAUCUGAAUCCUUCCAUUUUGUUUGGAUUACGGAAGAAAAGGAAAGUAAAUUAUCACGCAUCAAUUAAGAUUUUAUUCAUAAUUUAAAAGUUUAAUUUGUAAAUACAUAGUAGGUUUUUUUUAAAAAAAUAUUAAUUUUUUCGUUAAUUUUGGUGUGAUCUCUCUCUAUUUUCGCCCACUUUUGGAGGACAAGAAGAUUGACAAAAAAUAAUUAAAUCUUAUUCCUCCCUUUUCCUCCCAAUCCUUGCCUUUCCCUCCUCAAAAACCAAACCAAAUGCCAAAAAUUUUAUCCCUUCAUUUCCUUUCCCUUCCUUGCCAUUCCCUCAAAACAAACAGUGCCUUAAUCAACAGUUUAUGUGUAUAUUCCCAAAAAAAGGUGUUAAAUGUAAAAGAUUCUAUUACACUAGUUGCAUUUUGCAUCCUAAACUAUUUUAAGAGGUACUUUACACCCUUAGUCAAUAAGAAAAUUUACUUCAUCUGAAAUAAUUGAUAAAACAACCAAUCUAUCCUCCAUUAAAAAUUUGUAAAAGACAAAAAUGCCCUUUCAUUUUAAAUGAAUUAAUUUUCACUUCAUAAUAAAAUUCUAAUUGCAAACAUAUAUAUGAUCACUUCAUACUAAAAUUCUAAUUAAAACAAGCAAAAUAGGGGAAAAAAGAAAAAAGGGAAUAAAUUCAAUUCAAUAAUCUCAACGACCCUAUUUUAAUACAUAAGUCAAGUUAGCCUAGGUAAGAAAAGAUUGUGAUUAAGGAAAAGUAAAUAAUUGAGGUGUUUUAUUGAAACUUCUAAGUCCAAUAUUUUGUUUACUAAUAUGUGGGUUUUAAUUUUGGUUUGGUAUUGAAUCUUUAUUGCAAUUAUUGUGUUAAAUUCAUAUGAUAAAUUUUGGGUUCUACGCUAGUUUUAUUCUUGUGAAGAUGUUAAGUGAAAUUUUGCUGAUUAUAUGAAGUUAUAGCAUUAUAAUGUGUUGGAAAAAAAUUAUGAGAUUUUAAAAAUUACAGCAGUUAUCAUUCCCAUUUUGACCCACUAAUCUUAAAUCUCAUUCGAAGUGAUGCAAUAUAUUUUUUAUGUGUUAACAAUUAGACCUUUUUUAUAAAAUGAGUAUUAGUCUGUUUAAAGUAGUAAUCUUUCCCAUCAAAAUGGUAUUUCUGCCUCUUAAGUUUUUAAUGAAGGAUAAAUUGGUCAUUUCAUCAAUUACUUAAAUGAAAUUAAUUUUCAUGUUAUUUUUUAGUUGACCAAGGGUGCAAUAUGCAUAUUGAAAUACUUUAGAGUGUAAAGUGCAACUACUGUAACAGUUUUUAGGAGUUUUCUGCAUCCAAGCCCAAAAAAAAAAAAAGUACAUUGUUUGAGAUGCAAAAAAAAAAAAAAAAAAAAAGUGUUGAAGAAGAAAUUAACUUAUGAAGCUAUUCCCCUCGUAUUCCCCAAGAUAUUGACUUCAAAUUCUUAGGAGAUCGUAUUUAUCCAUAAAAAAAAUUCCAAAUUUAUCUACAGAAACCCAAUUUGCAUUUCAAAAAAUUGCAAAUUAUAUAGCCUGUGGUGGAGAAUAAAGCUUUUUAUCAGGAUGGCAAGAUUGGACAGAAGAGGAAGAUCACACUCUGGUACAUGGCGAGGAGAGAGGAAAGAGGUUGAAUUGUUUGUUAUACUCUUAUUCCAACAUUUCCCCAAAGUGUUUUAAUUUGUUGGGUCUUUUUCCGUCUGCCCUUAGUGGUUAACGGCUGAAUGGUCCAAAGGAAUUGUACAAAUUUUGGACUCUUAAUUAUUAGGCUUAAAAACAUAUUGCCCCCUGUAAUUAGAGAUUGGUUUCAGUUCAUCCCCGUAUUCAUGAGAUAAACAAAAUACCCCUUUAAGUUGCAAUUCCUAUUCGCCUUUUAACGGACUUAAACUAACUGACAUCAAAUUUUAACAAUUAAAAUCUAAAGACAAAUUUACCCUUAUAAUUGGAGGUAGACAGUGACUUUAUUUUAAGCAGUGGCUUGUGCUUAUUAAUUAUAUACUCCCUUCAACUUAUUUUACUUGUCAUGACCAACUUUAUACAUAAUUUCAAAAACCUAAAUUUUGACCAACUAUUAGAUAACUUUUUCCAUCAUUGCUCCUUAAUUUAAAUUCAAAUUUUGUUAGUUGUUUCUGAAUCUUUGAAUUUUACAUUAGUUAGUUAGAACAUUUAAUGUUGAAACAUAACUUUAAUGUUCUUUUUGUAAAUUGAAUGAAGGGUAAAAUAGGAGGUAAAUGCUUUUUCAUUACCCUUUUAGGACCAUGACAAAUAAUUUGGGACAAGCCAAUAGAAAUCAAGACAAAUAAAAUGGGACCGAGGGAGUAUUAUAUGAAAGAAACAGCUUCUUGUUCCUCAUUUCUUAACCGAAAAUACAACUGCUCCAAGAAAAACUUUAUCUAUUUCAAAAUUAAUGCAAUAAAAGUGAAUUACAGCCAGAACAUUUCAUAGAGCUAGAGAAGCAAAUAAUUAAUAUUUCUCUAUUAUUAGGAAAUAAGACACCUCCAAACAUGAGAUGAUACACAUCACUCCUAUUACCAAGCAAUACAUAGCACUCAUUUCAGAUUGAACCACAAUCUAAUAGUUAAGCAAACAAUUCACCAAAUUUCUUAGCAUAACAAGACUAAUUCUAAGCACAAAAGGAUACAUAUCAUUCCCAGCUGAAGAAAAGAUACCUACCUCCCCUAUUUGAGAAACCUUAAAUGGCAACCCAAAUUUCCCUCCAUUGGGUGGGUAUAUUUGGUAUACUAAUUUAUCUAUUGGCACUAAAACACUACAAUAUAAAAGGCUAAAAGAUUUUCAUGCGUAACUGUAAACUGUAUCGUUCCUGAUAUAUGAAAAUCUCAAUGUUUGCUCAAAAAAAAAAAACAAAAAACUAUGACUAGAACAGCAUUUUUUAUGGUUUGGACCAGAUCAUAAGUCUCACAUUUUGCUUCUGCUGUCUUUACUCUGUGGAUUUUGCACAUCACGGAGCCCACCAAGUGGAAAUUGAAACCAAAACGUGUAACACGUGGACAGGGACAUGCUAGAUAGGGAAAGAAGAAAAUUGGUCUUACGUUAGGCUAGUGAUGUUGCUAUCAAUGUAGGGAUGUAAUCGAGCCGAGUCGAGCUCGAGUAUCACUAUACUCGAGCUCGACUCGACUCAUACACACAGAGGCUCGAGCUCGACUCGAGCUCGAUCGAGCCAAGAAAAUCGAUACUCGAAGAUCGACUCGAAGAAUUUCCUCAGGCUCGAGACUCGACUCGAUAAGGCUCGAUCUUUAAUCGAGCCUUAUCAAGUCGAGUCUUAUCAAGCUUUUUGACUCGAUUUGACGAAAAAAACAGAUCAAAGGUGAUGUUUUGGGAAGAUUCAAAGGCAAGCAAGUAGCUAUCAGCUGGAGUAAAUGAGGCAUAAAAUCCAUGAUUCAUCAAUACAAAUACAACUAAAAUUAUCCACAUUCUACCUCCCACAGUUAGCAUCUUUAACACCCCUAAAAAUCAGAUUCACCACAAAGAAGAAUAGAGAAGAAAAAAGGGAAAUUCCCACUUGCUGGAUUGCUUGACAUGAAACUUUCAAAUUCAGCAAUUACCCACCAUCGGUAGGUGCCCACAAGAGCAGAAAAUAUGGAUGAUUCUAAUUCCUCGGAUCAUAGUUCCUAAGUGUGCUGCAAAAGUACCCAAACUAACCAAAAUUCCCCACAAAAUUUCAAAACUCAGCAAAACAUGAGCUGAGCCACCAAAUUGAGAGACAAACAAUUAUCUCAAACAGCCACAAUAUCCCAACUACCACAAGCUCAAAUCCGAAUUUGGGCAAAUUCAUCACACCUAGUUGGUCAAAUCAUAACACAAAGGAUUUUGAAGUCAGUCUUAGCUAUAUUUUUGCACACCAUUAUCCUAAGUCUGAUUUUUUUAAGAGCACAAAUUAAAAUUAUUUACAUAAAUAUUGCACGAUUCCUAAAUCUGCAUCAGGUAUUUGGCGCUUCUUGAGCGCCCACAGAAUUGAAGUACUUAGAAAUCCGCAGAUGCCUCAUAUGACGCAUACUAUUACUAGCAAAUCUCUGGGUCUUUGAUGGAUUUCCGCCGAACUCACGGGCUCCUAUCAGCGUUGGACUGAUAGGAGCUGCUCCCCACGAGCACAGAUACAAGAGAUUUGUCUCUUUAUUUCAAGUUCUCGUUUAGGCAUUUCUUCAAACAGUAGAAGGGCAUACGAAAAUUCUAAAGAUCCCCAUCAAAUUCCAACGAAAGAAAGACCCAAAACUUGUAAUCAAAAUACGAUUUCGGUCCAACAAAGGCCAAAGAGUAUACUCAGCCAUGAAAAUUGUAAAUAACUCCAGAUUAAAAAAAUUCAAGAAGAAACUAGCAAAAGAUGGUUCCAGAAAAUAUCAAAUUGAAAUUCAAGUUGGAAAGCAAAGAAUAGCUCACGGGGCGUUUUAAAUGAAGAAUUGGAUAACCGUGGCGGUAUGGGCAAACUCCGACGACCCAGCAGUGGCGGCUGCUCCUCCUCUGUUUCCCGUCGGUUCUUUUUUUUUAUUAUUAUUUUUUUUUGGCCGAGAGUAAUAGGAUAAUGGCAGAUGGAUUGAAAUCUCUGGGUCUCUGAGAGAUUUCGUCCCCUUAUCAAUUCAGGAUAACAAGUUUCCUAGUCGAUCUUGGCCCAUUUUAAUGCCAGAGACACAGAGCCAAAAACAGAGGAGCACUUACCUAAGUGAGCCAGAGAUGAGCAGUGAUGAACCAGCGAUGAACUAGUGAGAUCUUGGUGCUUCGUCUUCGACACUCGGCAGCGAUGAACCAGCACGGCAGGACACAGCCGACAGGAGACGUAGAGCGCGGCGGACUGGCGGAGGCUGGAGAGGCAGAGAGCAGCUUCGAUUUGGAGCGAUGAACCAGCACGGCAGGACACAGCCGACAGGAGACGUAGAGCGCGGCGGACUGGCGGAGGCCGGAGAGGCAGAGAGCAGCUUCGAUUUGGGACUUGGGACUUGUUAAGGCGAUGGCGAUGGCGAUGGAGUCUCACAGAUGCGGCGAGCAACGGCGUCGGCGACGAACGGAGUGAGGGUGUAGAUCUAAAUCAGUCAGAGUCAGCUGCCGGCUGGUAAACUGAAUUUUUUUGCUAGGCUUUCUUCGAACAGAGAAGAAAGUCGCACAGUCGGCACAGAGAAGGAAGAAAUGUAUAUUAUUUAAAUUAUAAAUAUUUAUUUAAUUAACUCCGGCUCGUCGAGUUACUCGACGAGCCACGAGCCGGGAUAAUACGGCUCGAAACUCGACUCGAUUGGAAGUCGAGUUACUCGAAACUCGACUCGAACUCGAUCAACCCGAG